rnacentral:lncRNA from 1 species
AAGUAGUAGAGUAGAGUAGUUGAAAAGGCUAGUAUACGAGUAGUUUCAUCAGUAGCUGAGGCUGCCAAUGAUAUAUAGGAGCUAGAAGCCUGAGUUAGCUGAGUUCAAAGAGAUGAGAUGAGAGCCCUAACUUUAUUAGUUGACAGAACACUAGCUUAAGGAGCUUGCGAAGAGGAAUGAGGAAUAAUAAGAUCAAAGCAGUAAGAGCAAAUUGAUUAUGCAGACGAAACCGGUUGGACCAGCUCUUGGGCAAACAUAGAGGUUCAGUAAUCAAAGAAUACAAAAGAGUUGCUUGUUGGGUUGACAGCCCUGAGUCAAAGCCGUUUCUUGCUCUUGUUCCUUUACUUGUUUGUUCGUUCUUUUUCCCUUAGAAGUUCUGUGCCGAUAUGAAUAAGAAAAGUAAGCCAAAGCAGUAUCUAUUAAUGGAAGCAAUGCAGUGUCAUUGCAGAUGUCAUCAGCGGUUAAGGAGACAAAUAAUAGAAUAAAGUCAAGUCAUCCCACUCAAGAAGUCAUAAGUGCGCAAAGAUUCUAUAAAUGGAUUAAAAGCACCUACCUCAUUUCUCACUUGAACUACUCAUUGAAUAUCCGCACCCCCCGAAUGAGCACUUGAACGCUCUCUUCUCUCUGUUAGCAAGCACCAGUUAGAGCAGUAGCAGCGGAUCGGCCAAACUACAGCAUCAAAGCUUACCUAAGCCGAGCUAGCAAACAAACUCAAGCAGUCAACUCCCAUCUCAUCUACAAAUAAGAGAAGAGACCCAUAACUCCUAUAACUUGAACCACUAAUUGAAUAUAGGCACUAUUCCAUAAGUUCUAUUAUUUCCUUUCCAGAAGUUCUAUUAUUUCCUUAGGCUUUACUUACCCUUUCCUCUUCUUGAAACUCGGGAAACUCUACCUACUACGAACUCAGAGGAUUCCUCCCUUAGACUCAGAGUCGGAGUCAGAAAGAUCCCUUACUAAACACACAAGCACUUCCUCACCAGAUUAGGCUUCUGAUCGAGUCGACCCUUGCUUCUUUUACUGACGAAACAAGCUUAGUAUAGUAUAUAGCGUUAGAAACUGGCUCACAUUCCACAAAAGCACCCGAAUCGAGUUAGCAAAAAGAGGUAUACGAGGGUCUUAGUAAGGGAGAAAUCCCCCUGUAGUGAUAUCUUCUAGCUUCAGAUCCAGCUUCCACUUUGAAUCUUACUGCAAAACAAAACCUAUUUCUUCUUCUUAAUACGAGAAAAGUAGAACUCCACCUUCUGGGUCUUGCUGAUAAUUCUUCUUAUUUAUCUACUUCUCUUGCUUCUGCUUAAGAUCCAUCUGAGGCUGAUGAUACCGAUCCAUAGUUUGCUCCUGUAUCUUAUCUUGGGGCACGAACUAGAGGGGAAGUAAUUGAUUCUUACCUUAACCAAGCUUACCCGCUACACCUUAUAGUAUAUAGCCAAGUCAUAUUACCUUCAACAGAUCCAACUCAAUCUUCUGCUUCUGCUGAGCUAGUAUACAACUUUACUGGCCGCUCCACCAAUAACCUCUUUCACAGAGUGCAUGUUCUUAACCCUGCUUUUACUUAAUCUUUAUUGCUCUUAACCCUGCUUUUACUUAAUCUUUAUUGCUAAAGUAUAUAAAUGUAGAAUAUUACCGCUCCCUGGGUCCAUACUCAACCCAACUCGCCUUUCUUUCUUAUGAGACCCCUAUGGCUACUGUACCUCCGCUUUAGUGUCAUUAUGAGUAGUACUUGUUGCAUUCUGUGACUUAGGAGUGGAAUUCUGUAUUUGUUGCUUCCGUAGCUGGGUGUUAGAGAUUCAAAAGCUGCUUCUUCUCUUGGGUGUUAUAGAUUCCAAAGUCAGUAAAGUAUCUUUCCCGACUCCUUUAGUCUAGUAGUCGCUUAUCCGUUGUUGAAUCUAGAAACAAUACUUUCUCCUUUCCCGUCAGACAGGACAGGUUAUCUCUUGACUACCCCGGACAGAGGAUGUAAGACAGUUGUUAUAUCCCGGACAGCUUCCAUAUAGGCGCCAUCCCUAGUGUAAUCUGUGUUUGCUACUCUUGAAGCAGAGGCCCAAGCAGUAUCUACCUUACGUAGUUGUUUCAUGAAAUACCUUAUCCGGGUAGUCUAGAUGUACUAGAGAGUGAAGUCAGUAUCUCUUCUCUAUAAGAUAGAAAGUGGGUUAUCAGAAGAAGUCAAGUCUCCUGUCCCGGUAUACUGUCCCGGUCUAGUAGAAAGUCCAGGUUUCACAACUCCAAAAUCAAGUCAGAAUGAAAUGGAAUAUCCGCUGACCUGUGACCUGACCUGACUUCCCUUUCAUUAGCGCUUGGAGCUUACUUGAGACUUACGCAUUGGAAAAGAAGAGAUUCUAUUAGAGAUUCCACUCCAACUGAAAGAGACUCGUAGCCAACAGUGGAAAGUGUUUCAAGUGAUAGUAGGGAAUGUUCUUAUAGCUACGUUGCUUGGCCCGGAGUCCUAAUCUCGAGAGGCAGGAGCUGAGUUAUAACCAAGUCUUUUCUUUCCAGCAAGUCCUGUCCUUUAUGGCAUCAGUCAAUUCUAUAAUAUACCGCGAGCUUGAGAAGUUCUCUACUCUACUUCAGUACAAGGAGUUACAGCAAAGCUGGACAAUCAGGCUAAGGGGGAGCUCCCUAUCCUUAAGAGCUAGUAGCACUCUUAGGCGAUCCUGCUUAUUCACGUGAACAAACUAUAUCCUGUGUGGUAGAAAGGGCGGAACCGCCGGCCUUGGGGACAAGAAAAACUGGCGUGGCGCCAAUGAGCAAACAGCCUUCUUUAUUGAGCGUGAUGUACAGGAAAGGCCCUGGCAAGGUAAUGACUAAUAAAGCAAGCCCAACCAACCCGAAACAACCCCAUAAUUAUUAACAGCAGAGCCCCUACGCUCGGAGAGAGCCACUACUAAGAGCAGCAAGCGAUAAAGAGCCGGAAGAGUUAGUGGCCAGAGUUUCUACUUUGACUUUUCGCCUAGCUGGGACAAUCCACCAUUUUGCCAAUCAGCAGCCGGCACCAGGUAAGAAAUCAAUCAAUGAAGGGCUAUCUUUCCUCAUGGGUCAAGAACAAAGGGAACGACGGAUACGUAGGAAAAUCUAUACUUAUAGAAAUGAAUGCGCGAGCACGGACGCCCAAUCUAAUAACAUGGGGUGUGGGCAACAUAUCGCAACGUCGAAGUCAAAGGAAGAACAAGCGGACUCAUAGGAUAGAAUUCCAUGCCCGGCUACUUUUUCAAUCCUUAGGGCAGACUCCGGAUCCUUAUUGAUUGAGCUCGAAGACCAGCAAACGGAAGCACGCUUUCGCACAUCAACAAAUGGCACGCGACUGGAAAAAGCCAUCCUUUACUACCUGAGAUGCUAUUCCUCCUUCUUCUUGGGGAGGCGCGAACAAAGCUGUUUCUCAGUCUAAUCACUCAGUUCAUCGUGGAAGUAGGGGCCGGGCCGGGGUUCUUAUUCUUUUAGAGCAGAUGGAGUGAAUGAAGAUGGAGAUUCGUCUGGUUAUCUAUGACCACCCUCGGUUACGUUCAUCUUUAGGGUCUAGCUCUUCCUAUCCGUUUGAAUCGGUUUCAUCGCUAAAAUAGAGAAAAGAGUGUGCUUCCUUCUUUCUUCUUCUCUCUCGCCCUCCGUUCUGUGUGGUAAUAAAGCCGACCUCCUUGAUAGCCCUGUAGUUGCUGUAGUAGCGAACACAGAGAACAAAGACAGUCUGUCAAACGCCCUUCGCUCCGUAUUUGAUGUUUCCUAGUGUUGAGUUCUUUGAAAGCGACCUACUUAGGGACUGACUCUUACCUUCUUUGUCGCCUCUUCUCAGUGUUGGGAAGUGGGGCCGGGGUUUCGUUUAGAGUGUGUACAAGUGAGAUAAAGAAGAGAGUAUCGCCUGAAGCCGGUUACCUUUCUGCUGCCUUGCUUUCCUAACCCUAAGUCAGAUUGAAGCUAAAGCUUUCCUAUACAACUAACUAAAGCUUUCCUAUACAACUCAUUGGAGCUAGCAUACGCCAUUUUCCGUUGAAGGGGAGAUUCGUCCGCUUACUCAGAAUCAUAUUUCUAAGAAUUGCUGAACAGAACAUAACAGCCUCUAUCUUAUCUUUCAUAGCUGGGAUUCCCAAAAAGAAAGGAAAAGCUCGAGCUCUCUGUAUCAUCAAUCGACUGAAAAAGCGUGGAUUCUUUGUCGAGAUUCGAACUGUUCAACCGCGGCUUUGAUAACGAGAAGGGGAAUCUUACGCGCAUGCGGAGUAAAAGAGGGGCGGCUCCUGGACUCUUUUCGUCCCACCAAACCAUUGUGUAGAUGGCAGCUGAAGGGUGUUAUCCCAACGGAACGGACCCGUUCUUAGACUAUGCUAUCCUUGGUAACGAUUUAGUCAUCGCGGAUGAAGCAGUGGCUAAGCUGUAUAAGACACGGUGGGAACGAUUGAAGGCAGCAACUCCUCAAUUGGGACAGGAAUUGGCCCCAAAGGUAUUCAAAUAUGUCUCCCCCCGGGGACUAAAGAAGACCAGACCAGACCCGAAGAAAGCUUUCAAAGAAAUACGCGCCAACAGCGGAACGGGUUGUACUUAACGAAUGCCAUUCAAGUCCAAGUGUGACAUCUGAGAAAGUGGAACCUCCAUUAGGAACUUUCCCGCACAUAACUAAGAACCAAUAGCCGGGACCCCUGACUCGCUCCUGGAGGAAGAGACUCCUUUACUGCAACUGUGGGACCAUAGUAAGAUAGAAGCUGGGACCAUAGUAAGAUGGAAGAAAACAAUUCUAUCAUUAUCUAUCUAGAAAUUCAGAAUAUAUGCUCCGCCUCCGGUAUAAAUAAGAAUCGAGUCCAUCUCGGCAGUGCGCGAACAUUCUAAGAUCAAAGACUGCGGGGACUAGUCAAAAAAGCUUUCCUUUCAAAGUAGACCAUCCUGUAAUAAUAGAGACCUGGAAUAAGAGGGAUUACUAUUACUCACCGGUGUAACCGAAUCAAUCAGAAAGUUCUAGUUAUCCCAUUGGUUCGGUAUUUCAUAUAGUAAUAAACAUAGAGAAAGUGGAUUAGUAAGAAACAUAGAGAAAGUGGAUCUAAUGCCUCGCUAACGUGAGAGUCCCCUGCUAAGUAAGUAGUCUUUUCUACUUAUAUAUAACACUUAUAAAACGAGUAGUCUAGUGGUGUUUUCUACUUAUAUAUAGCACUCUUAGUCUUUUCUACUUAUAUAUAACACUAAGAUAUAAGAACACUAAGAUAUAAGCAAAUCUGUCUUUUUUUUUAUACCUUUCCUUACCUCCCUGGCUGCUGCUGUUGGUAGUGCCUGUAACAAAUAUCUCCAAAAUGCUUCUUUUUGGCUGGCUCCCCGCCUAUGCACCGAGGGAAUAAGUAAGGUAAACAAUAAAGUGAUUAAGAUAAUAAAAGGUUCAGAUGGAAUUCAAAAGACAUACAAAGCUGGCCUUUACUUGACUAGGGGAGAACGUGGUAUGCAACUCAUCUCGUAAACUCUCACUGCGGAUCGUCAGGAAGAAAUCUCAAUAAAGAUGCAAUCGUAUACUCUACUCCUUUAGGCUCUUUGGUGUGUGUUGUCUCUUUGUGCGAUGAUUGGAUUAGCAGUUUCUUCGUAGUACCGGGUAGCCCCCUAAACAAAGACCGAAAGCUAUCUCUUCACCAGAUCUAUAGCUAGUUCUUAGCCUUGCUCGAAUCCAUUUGAGAAUCCUAUUUUCUGUUCUCCUCAUCUGAUCUGCCAAGUCCGUGCGAAUGUGGAGAACCACUGAAUAAGUAUAUAAUACCAACCUUUGGAUUGAGUUUGAAAGAACCGUCAAUCUAUUUUGAUGUGAAGCAUGAGUGAGCAAGGCGGACUCAGUAAUCGCUUGGUAAGAGUCAGAUCGUGCCUCACUGCUGACGGAUUUCUUCGUUGUAGUGUUUCAUGCACUCAUAGGACCUUCUAUCUGGAAGUUAUUACUCGUCCACACCAGUAUGAAGAAACCUUGACCUUUCCGUUGAAGCUGCUACGUUCAUCCGCGUGGGUCUCACCAUAGUGGAAAUGGCUCCAUGCGUAGAAGUAUCUAUUGACAGAUUGGAGACAUUCUAUUUUGUCACUACUCGGCAGAUGGCCAGAAGAAAGCAACAAAGGAACCAUCGAAGGAGGUUGCCCGUGUCAUUUGAUACUAAAAGUAUUCUGCUGUGGCUGAGAUGUUUGUCUAGUGAUUAGAAAAAGUAUUGAUAGCAGCAGGGGAAGAAACCAACUCUAGUAUUGUAGUUGAUUCUAGUAUACCGAGGUGGCUUUCAGCACCUUAUUAUAAGAUAAAGUAUUGAGUAGGUAGUAGUAACAGACCUUCAAGUAAUUCGUUAAAGAACGAAAAGCAGAGUCGAGAGACUUCAAGCACAAGUAAAGAUAGACUUAGAGGGCGGAGGAGAGAGGCAUACUGCUAGGCAGGCGCGGGCUACGUAUAUACUAUGGCUAUAAUAUGUUUUCGAGUUUGUUUUCUUUUUGAUAGUGGUAGUUUUGAGUUUUCGAUAUAGUAGUAGUUUUGAGUUGCUGCUCUAGUGUAUUUAUUCUUAAAGAAGAUAGACCCACGUAUCGAUAUAUUAUAAGUGAGUUAAUGAGUCAGGAGCAAGUUCAGUAUCCAAGAGCAAGUCCUAAUUGAAUCGCCUUUCCUCUUCUUUCUGAUUUAGUAUACGCUUGUCUCUUCCCAACACCGCUCCGUAACGUAACGUGGGCAUUAUCAAAGGGGCAUUCUAAAAGCUUCUUCUUAAUAUGAUUAUACUAAUGAACUUUCUUUCCCGCUUUGCUUACUUUGUUUCCGGUUAGGUAGUCAAUUCUUACUUCAAAUCUAUACAACCUAGAUUUCAUUCCACAAUUCAAACUUCUAAUUGCGCUUGCACCUUCGCAUUCAAAAAGGGAACUACAACUUGAAGUCUAAUCUCCUUCCGCGAGCUACUUUCCGAGCGACUUUAUCCGUUCCAUUCUUUUCUGUAGAGUAAGUAGAGCUAGCUUACAAGGGAAAGGGAAAGCCAAGUUCCCGGGCAGGGCUUCGAACAAACAAACAUAGGAAGAGCACAAAGUGAAUCAAGAAGCAAUGGAUCAACCUACUACUUAUGAUAAUGAAAACUACUGACAGCAACCAGGGAUCACUACCUACUUUAUGGGAUUGCUACUAAGGAUUUCCAAUCUUAUAUUCCGAGCCUUCGCGCUGAAAACGGACCUCACCCGGCUAUAGCGGAAAUUCUUGAGCCCUGUUCCUACUCUUACUGCCCUCGCACUUCAGUCUGUUUCACCUUACUUUCACUCUGCCCUAUCUUUCUUGCAAACUGUAUUCCUCGUUUCUAGAUCCUAAACUGGCAUUCCUGUCUUAAAGUACGAAUUGCACUCUUAUACUCUUAUUUCUCAUUCUUUAGUUAGAGUGGAGGAUCUGGCCUAAUAUACAUAACUUAUUCGAAUCUGUUAUUCCAGUUUUGUUUAAGUGCUCGUUAAGUCUAGGAAUUCAAUAAGUGGCUUCCCUUUCCUCUCCUCUCCUCUGGCAACAGUAGCUUGGUUGCUCUUUCCUUCCUUCCCUUAAGAAUGGAGUGGAAGCUCGAUCUAUCCCUCUUACUUAAAGAACAGUGGGGCUCCUUAGCACAACUAACUACAAAGCUGGGCCCUUCCCGCUGAAUGAAAAGACACUUUGGAUCUUGAAAUGGAAAUCGCUCUUACGCUUCCAUCGGAGUAAUGUACGUCAGCCUUCUUGCCUUGACUUGGAUUAUUGCUUUCUUCAACGAUUAGUACUUUAGCCAUAAGAUGAGUUGAACAGAAAGAGGUCUGGAGACGCAUAAAGGGGAGAAAGCCUUGCCUUAAAUGAGAAAUCCGUUGUGGAAGCCUAAACCAGGUUGCCGAGAUCAGAAGCCAGGUUGCCGAGAUCAGAAGCCAGUGGUUUUGAAAGUGGCUCUCAGACGUAAAUAAAGGAAUGACAGACCAAGAGUAACGGUUGGGAGGCUCAAACCAUAAAUAAGGGCUGGGCUGAAAGGCAUGAAAGGGCGGCUAACACUAAUAAGUCCGGGAAUAAGAUAGAAGGAUCAGGGCUUAUAGCUAGGAGUUCCAUUCCUUAGUAGGUUCACCCCUGUUGUAUCAAUCUUUCCUGUGUUAGUAGCAUUCUUCGAAGCAAUAGUACCGGCUUUUAGAAGUUCCCCAAGAAGCAAGGAUGCCAGGAAGUAGCCACAGACCAAUAGUUUGUUCUAUUUUUUCUAUGUUGUGUGCGGGUGCACUAUAUUAUACCAUAGUACCUUUACUUUAGUACCAGUACCAUACCAUUGCCCCAAUGCCGGUUGCCGACUACGUGGUGCCGGUGCCGAUCAAUGCACGACCGACCGAUGCCAGGGUAAAGAUAUCGUUUUGUCCUUCUGACUGGUUGUAUCCUGACUGACGAGCAACAUUAGUAUAAGCUUGCCCAGUGGUUGUUUUACUUUAUCCGAAUUAAGGGAGAUGAGCCAUAGGUGGAGUAGCCAUAGCCCAGAGCCCUAACUGCAUUUGUUUACAGAGGAUAGAGAGUCAAGGGAAUCAAGAGAAUCCUAAGUUUCCAGAGAAGCAACUGGAUAAGAGGCAGUGUAUCAAUAGAAUAAGUCUUGCUCCCCACGCUAGGUAAGAUAGAGAAUCCCCAGUUCCAGGUCGAGGAAGAGUUGAAGACCGGAUAUCGGUUGGAAGUAGCAGUAGCAAGAGCAGAGGAAGUAGAUGAGCUAGGGAGAUCAAAGAAGUAUUUGUUUACAGAGGUAUAGCUCUUUCAAUCAGAAUUAGUUGACAGAGCCUAGCCUGUUGUUGUAGAGUUUCAUACCGAUCCUGUUCGAGUGAGAGUGGAACAGUAGUUAUCAAGUCUGUAUACGAGUAGUCCUGUGCCCGAACGGGCUUUGGAGUAAGAUUCAUUGACUUUCCCCGGGGUAUCAAUUUCUUUCUACUUGUUACUGUAGGGCAAAAAUCAUUCAUUUUCUCUCUCUCUUGCACAUAUAAGAGAUAUAUUAAUUUAAGAGCCCUUUCCUAAACAACGUCUUUCGAAGACUAACAAGCAAGAGCAUAACAGGGAUUAUACACAAGAGCAUAAGGAGAUUCAACUAAAGCAGCUAGAAUAUACCACGCUUCAAAGAAAGAAACUCAAAAGGAAUAAUUCCACAGCCAGGCAGAGGGGCGGGGCAGAUGCUUCAUCACCCGAUCUUGCUUAGUUGCCCGAUCUUGCUUAGUUUAGUAAUGAAUAGUCAUUUAUAUAGUUUCAUCAGUUCUAUUAUAUCAGAUUUCAUUUAGGAGAAACCCUUUCUUGACUGUAUUCUCCUGGCCUGGCCUCGCCUUCCGCCCUAUUCUAAAGUAUGCAGCUUCCCUUGAUGGUUCCCGUGCCUACCAAAGCACUUAGUAUACGCUUGGCCCGGGCACCUCUGACUCUGAUUCUUAUCCCGCGUAGCUUACUUUCUUUAAUUCAAUAAGUGCAUUAAGGUUACAAACAACUUCUAUAACAGAACAGGUGCAUCCAAAUUCCACAAGUCCCCAGGCGAAAGAGUGUCCUUGUUACUCAAAUCUAUAAGUUGUGUACUUUAUUCCAUUCUUCAAUCAAACCCCCGUAUCCCCAUUCUUUAAAGAGCACUCAAAAGUCAGAAUACCAGAGCUAGGAGUUACAGAGGUAUGUUAACUGCUUCUAUUCUAUGAGACCCAGUGAAAUCCCCUUAUUAGUAGUAGCUUGGCCUAUGCUCAAUCCCCUUAUUAGUAGUAGCUUGGCGGUUGGUUACUUUGGAUUCUAUAUAUGUGUGUGAGUGAGAUUCAAAGUAGAAUCAGUUAGUGUUGGCGCAAGUCCAGUGCCCUUAAUGAAUUUCGGUAAGUAAACAAUGCGAUGCGAAAUAAUGCAUUCCAAAGUAGACCUCUCUUGAUCCUAUACCUAAUUGGCAUAAGCUACUGAUGAAACUGGGCUGGGCUCGGCAGUACGUCAACUCUAUUCUUUUAUGACUUGGUUCAAUUCUGAUUCUUUGACUACGACGUUCUAUUCUUACUCCGGGUGUUCCAGUGCAACUUAUAUAUCCGCUUCUUCACCUCUUCACUUCAAGUCUUGUUCCAGUCAUCAAGUGAAGUUCCAGGGAAUCCUGUUGUUGGUGCUCUAGCUUUAAGUCUUGGUCUUGUGUCGAGUGUUGAUGCUGCUGUAGCUCCCUGUCGAGUUUCCUCGGGAAGUAGGUGUUUGGAUAGAAAGGAGGUGAGUAGGGCGAGCUAGUAUUGUUUCUGUUGGUAAGUAAGUAUAGUUCCAGUUAAGCCUAGUUCGGGUGAAGAAUCAGCUGUGCUUGUUUCCAGAGAUGAAUUAGGAGAAUUUACAGUUCCAGUUCUUGCCUUUGUCGUAGUUGCUUGCCUGAUAGCCAAUAAAUGGAUAAUCUCUUCUAUUCCCGCAGAGUACAGAGCCAGAGUUUAGGUCGGCAGGAGCGGUUAAGAAUCAUUAGCUAAGGGAUGUCAUAGAAUCCGUAAGCACUAUAGGGGCAUUUCCUGAGGCAACAUAGGUAAUUUGCCAUCAAACAAAAUAAGUAAAGUCAACUGAAAAAGAGAUAUUUGCUUAGCUCUGAUCCAUACUAAUGAACUACUAAAUUCAGUGUUUUUCUUUAUAUAUAUAGGAUUACUGAUAACUUAUUCAACAAGCCCUGCAGCUGUCAACAACUCCCUUCCGCUUAGAGGAAACAAUGACUUCAAAUGAAUCUAUUUCUAUUUCCACUCCCGGUAGUACUGCUCGAGUUAGGCAUAACAGUGGUGCGUCUAACCGCUCCUUCCUUUAAGAAGAGAGUUUAGGGUUCAGGGCAGUUGCUAGGGAAGUAGAAGGUAAGGCCUAAUACAUAAUUCGGAUAGAUUCCACUGGAACAUAUUGAAGUGAGGAUGACUUUCUCACUAUCACUGCUGAUGAUCCUAUAAGUUCGAUAAGAUGCUACAUCAGGAGAGGGCACGCACAUAGGUAGUUACCGGCUUCUAUUGUUUCAUCCUAUCUAGUGGAAUCCGUCUUUGUUGGCAAUGGAGUCUCUUUCAGUUCGCGAGGAAAGUCAACUAUACUCAAUAAUUCGCUGUGCUUGCUAAGUCUAGGAGAUCCGGAUCAGUGCCUGGUAGUUUUCUUCUAAGUCAACUACUGGAUGCGUAAGAUCAUAUCCCCACUGCUACUUACACCGGGUAAACUGUUCCUGCCGCCAUGAACAAAGCACUGGCUUGAACAUCGGAUUGAACAGUCAGGGAUAGCCUCUUUCUCGCCUACCCUGCUGGCAUACCUAUGGCAACUUUACCUUAAUUCUUACGAAAGAAAUCCUGUGCUCUUCUACGGUCUUCAACUAUAUUGGUACUGCAUGUGGAAUUAUUCCCUCUGCUAACUGAAUCCACCUCUGUAAACUGGCAACUCAACUUACCUUGAAGACCCGCUUACAGACUCGGACAGGCUAACACAGGACUUGUAACCAACACUGUCAACUCUCCACUUCAGUAUUCCACUCCCGCUAUGGUAGUCAAUAGGCCCAGAAAGGCAUAAAAGUAACUACUCGCAAAUAGCAAUAAAGAGAAGAAUGGAAUGGAAUUGAAGAUGCAGAGUUAAUAGAGUUAUAUCAGACAGAGUAGAAGCCCGCUUCCAAUAAGAAGUAUCAUACCUGAGUUGAAGCCCUGUCCCUUAUUAUUAAUAGUAGUUGCAGAGUCAAAGAAAGACCUAUCUCUUAUUCAAUGAAUUUCAAUGGGAAUGCCUCUAAAAGUAGUCAAGGAGUGGUCAUCUGUGUCUUGGAGAAUUGGAGGUUUCAUAGGAGUCCUGAGCCUUAGUUAGUUGUUUCAUGAAAUACCUUGAUCGAAAGGAAGAAUGGAAAUAGGCGACAUCCCUUACCAUCCUCGAAGCUAUAAGUACUGAAGUCCAGAAUUGCUAUCCGCCAAGUAACUUAACUACUGAGGAAUGGAAUGCUUAGUCUAUAAGUGCGUAAACAACCUUCGUAUUGCUACCCCGUUACUUGUUUCUGGAACUCUACUCAUAUUCAUUGUACUUAGCUUAUUGAGUAGGGCCAUAAUCUCGGGGCAAUAAUCUCUCGGUGAUUAGAAGCGGAAUAAGACCCAACGUUGCUAAGAGGUAUAUAACUGGUUUCAACCACGUUGUAAAGAACGGAAACUGACCUAGAGCUUUGAUCUCCAGGAACUACACUUGAGGUUAAUAAUGUCAUUUAUGAUUACCCAAUUCCAUACUCAACAUGCUUCUUUGAUUUGUCAGUGAAUUCAUGUCAUUUCAGAUUACCUUACUUGCGCACUGAAACAAGAAAUGAGUUAGUUUCCUCCGUUGCUGACUUUCGAACUGCUGAAAACAGGACUUGAAGUUCAUCAUGAAAUGGAAUCUCUAGAGCACCCGGUAUAUAUAUAUAUAUUAGUAAAGACUUAGUAAAGACACAAUCUAGCUUUAUCUUCUUCUUUUGCCGAGAAUCCAGCUUUAUCUUCUUCUUUUGCCUCUGAUCCAUCUUUUGCUUGAACUCGAAUUCCAUUAACGGAGAUCCUGCUCCCUAAACAAAGAUCUAAGUGGACCCCUUGAGCGUUGGAGACACCUGAAUACACCCCUUUUGCGUCACUUUUCACCUGUAUGUCUAUAACGGAGCCCACGUAGCUUCUCUCUCCUUAAUAAAGGAGUAGGCACAUAAACAAAUAGAAUAGUGUAACCUAACAGAGCAUUAUUACUAUACUUUUGACAGCCUAGCCUCACUCUAGACAAAAGUCCACUUUUCUGGCGUCGUUACUUACUGAAACUUAUUGUAUUGUUCCCUUGCCUCUAGUCUUGCUCUAGCUCCGAGUUCCAAAAGCCCUUGUGCGGGAAUUCCUUUCAACUCAACCUUUCAUAACCGAUUACCGCUUCUCAAACUUCUGAUUGAUCCAGCUUAGUCUGGGCCUGGACCUGUUUCUUCACCUACUCUUUCUCCUGUUCCAAAUAAAGAUCCUUCUUAUACUCCUGCGACUGGUAAAACUGUCAAAGAAUUCACUGAAGGGUCUUAGCUGAUUAACAGCGGAUUCUCUCGCGGACAAUGAAACGCCAUUUGCUGCUUCAGAUCCGGAUACAGCUGAUGAUAACUCUUCUGCUUUACCAAUAAGUCUAUAUAUUAGAAUAAGUGGACUCCCUGAUUUCUUGACUUUAUGACUGAAGCCUGAGUCGCGCCCCAAGUAUAAUAGCUAGCUGACUUUCUUUCACCAACACCAAGAUACUUUCCAGCUCAAACUUUGGCUCCCUAACCAGCAUCUAAUCGUUCUCUUUGAGACUUUCUUUCUGAAGAUCUUUAUCCGGUUUCUGAUCCAUAGGACAGUUUCCGAGUUUCCAUUCGAUUUGCUAGUAACUGAGUGGAACAGAGCUGAAACCCAACCCCUAUCAUAUUUGUUUACCAUAAGUGAAACAAUGCAAAAAGACCUAUUUGCCCUAGACUGCUGUUUCUCUUUGAUGCUGUAGUUUGGUAAUUCAGGUAAUAAGAAAAAGGUGAAGGAAGCAAUAAGGCUUAUUUAUCGUUGUUUAAGGCACCAAGUCACUACGCCGCCGACAAGAACAAGUAGUGGUGAAGUUGAAUCCGUAGUAGUAAGUGGAAUCCCGCCAACCAACUAUGUACCUAAAAAGUACUCGCCAACAAACUAUGUACCUAAAAAGGAAGAAGUCACCUCUCAAUACAGAAUUCCAGAAAGGAGGACAAUACUCAGAAUAGAAAGAAUCGGUACGUCAGAUAGCUUAUUCUAGGUAUGAUGGAAUUAGGUAACCUCCCCUGCGCUCUGAACCAACCGUGUGCUCUUCACUCACAAAGUCAGAAUUAUACUCAACCAAAAGAACUAUUCUUCAGCAGGUAAGGAAGUAGUAUCUGUAUAAGGAGCUGGAUCUAAAGCAAGCAGAAACAAGAGAAGGUGAAUCGGCAGACUAAGAAUCCGUUUAAAGAUCAGAAGCGUCAGACAGAAAGGGAGUUGUUGACCGAACUCGUUUAGUUCUUAUUGAAGCAGGAUCCGGAAAGUAUUGUUCGGCAAAAGAAAAGGCAUGCUGUUAAUUAAGAUUAUUAAGAAAGGGAAGCAGUCUGGUACCUAGGUUUUACGUUUCAAUAGUAAUAAGCAAUCGAUUCUUCAAAGGGAGUUUUCGUUUCGAGAAGGAAGCCCAUUCCUCAGCUCCCGUUAGCGCUUAGGAAGAAUUUCCAGAAGCAAGUUGAGUCUCCUAUAGAAGCAGGUAAAGGUAAUUACAGAAUCCAAGGUGUGGUGGGUAGUGGUGAAUAAAAGGUGUUGCCGUUCAAUAGUCAGCAGCAAGCGCUAAGUCGUCUUCAAGUGCAGUUCUUGGUUCUAAGUGCUGAGUGUCAAUUCCUCACCUAAGAUAUAUGAGUAUGCGUUAAAUGAAUGAUUUGUUGCGCGAGGCUUACUGUCUCUCUUUACUAAAAGAGUUUCAAUUCCUUCUGAUGCUAAUGCAGUUAUUGUUUCAUCUUAUACAGAAGCCAAAGAGAAUCUAUUCGACUCGAAUGGCCUACCCAACCUUCACGUUAAGGGUUGUGGUCGACCAGAGAGAGCGAGUGUCGGUGAAUAAGUCAGCAGCAAGUGACGAGCGGUUCAUAAAGUGUAGAGUACUAAAGUGGACAGUGGAAGUGUUGUCGACGAGAGGGAAAAGGGAUGCAGUGCAUUUACAUAAAUCUAGUUUACUUUACGGAAUUGUUCUAUGCCGAUAUUCUGACUUCAAUUGUCGGUAUGCCUCUAUUCGUGAUUAAAGUAAGUAAGCAAGCAACGGGUAGAUCAAAUCCAAUCCUAUAGCUAUCCCCUAGAAUAUAGAAAGUAGUCAGCUGUUAGGUGUAGCGCUUAUUUAAUAUGCAACUUCAACACGAAAAUGGAAAUAGUGAGUUGAUAGAACACUCGAAAUAACUAGAACUUGAUGAAGAAGUAUUUGGAGCUAGAGAGCGUGACAAUCAAUCUGGCCAGCCAUAAGAGUCGUUUAAGUCAGGGGAAACUCAUGGAAUGUGGAAUCGACUUAAAGGAGUCCUACAGGUUUCUUGGCGUUGCUACUCUUUGCUCCCGACAGGAUUAGGUGCCCCCACGAUUAUUCCCUUGCUUCCAGUAUCAUGGAUUAUUCGGCUGCUGCUUGCUCACCACGGAGAUUCUUCUCUUUUAUGCUUUCUAUGCUUAUCAAGGAAAGGACUUGCUCUGCUGACUCUGGCUAUGUAACUUCAUAAUGGAAAACCCGAGUCCUUGCGGAUUGGCGCUUUCCUUCUUCUGCCUGCCAGUAAUGGUGCGGGGUCGGGGGAACCGUGCCAUGAACUGCGUUCAGAGUCGACAACAAUUCAUCAGCUUCCGUCUGGUCAUCCACAUUACUAUAAGGGGAAAGCGAGCCCCUCAUUCUAUAAGAAAGAGAGUGUCGUGUCUCACGGUCCCUGUGCUAGUAGAAAGAAAACAGGAAAGAAAGAAAGAAAGAGCAUCAUGCAUUCUUUAUUGGAGAAAGGGAAGCCCUGGGACGCGGGAACAUCCUUUUCAAGCCUGCUAGUUGGGGGUUUGUACCAUUAGCUACGUUGAACAGAGGUCUUACCAUGAUAAUUGCCUUAUUGCCCUAAUUUGAUAGCCCAACGGAACAAGUAUAAGCGAAGGGAAUCUCCUAUUGAUCUCGAACUGGAACAAGACUUCCGAAACCUGCAGAAGAUCCAUCUUAGGAAGAGAAUUGAUGUACACAUGGAGAAGAAGCAAAAGAAGAUGCAUAACAAGCAAAGUCGCAAAGAAAGUAGAGUUAAGGUAAGAAGAAACUCCUCCUGCAGCGCUAAGGUACGAUUGAGAAUGUCCUGAUUGACAGCUUUUCGGUCAAUGGGUGAAGUUACCUUGCUGCAUCAACAGUUCUAUAUGAUCUCUAAAGAAAGAACAAUGAUUUUGUCUGCGCUCACAAGUGUAGUUUCCGUUUCAGAAGAAAUUACUGGAUUUGAAGCAUCAGCAGGGGGUGAGCUCGGUGUUGGGUCAAUGUACAGUAAACUACCAGCUUUUAGAGUAGUAGGGUAAACUAACAGCUUUGCUUCAAGACUCACACAGUAGAAGGAAGGAGAUGCUUGCUCUCUGAAACUAAUAUCAUCAAUUAUAGAGCAACGGCUUUCGACUAAGCAACGGCGCGACAAGCUACUACAAACGACACUGUCAAUUCCUUUCUUAGCCGGCGAGCAGAGGGGGUCAGUUCCAUUUCUAUUAAGAAUUCGAGACUAACCAACAAAUCAAUAAUUUCCUCUUUAUUGCCCAGAAGACGAAACCGAAGAUCUUGCUUAAUCUACGGAUCUGGUUGACUUCACCUCUGAUUCCUUAAUUCUGGAUUGAGUUUCGACUGCUGAGUCUGUUUCCACUGAGUCCGCAUUGCAUCUUGCUUCUGUAAAGGAAGCAGUAAACCCGAACCCCACUUUAUUGUAUUUCUCCUACAGCAAUUUACUUAAGGGCACAGGACUCGGCGAAAUCAAAUGGAGAAUCCGCUUUGUCUACGAACAAGGAAGCUAUACGUAAUGAAACUAUGAAUCUAAUGGAGAGAAAGAUCCUGGCUUAGGAUGAACGCUGUCGGCAUGCUUCACACAUGCGAGUCGGACGGGAAACCCGCCCUUGGGACAGCUGGAAACGGUUGCUAAUACCCCGUAGGCUGAGGAGCAAAAGGAGGAAUCCGCCCGAGCGUCUGAUUAGCUAGUUGGUGAGGUAAUAGCUUACCAAGGCGAUGAUCAGUAGCAGGUCUUUUCAGAUGAUCAGCCACACUGGGACUGAGACGGUAACCAAAAGGGAUGAAUUGCUUGCACUCUGUACCCACUCAUUCUUCCUGGCAAUGCAAGGGAAUCCGUCUUUCAAUUGGAGCAAGUACCUAGCGCAAACAGUGGAACUUCGGACUGGACGAGUAUUCAACUACGCCGACUUGACUCAACGACCGUAAUCUAACUUUCGAUAGUGACUCAGAGAUCGCCUUAACCUUAUUUUGAUCACUCCUCGGCAUGAAUAUGAAUUCCAGCUGCUCCUUGCGCCCCUCAACGCAAUCUCCUUACCCGUGGAACUGGGUAGCUGCCUCCGGCCUGUAGUUAUGUUCGAGUGCAACUCUCUAUCAAGCCUCGUGCCCGCUGAUAAAAAAGCCGAGUCAGACCCACUGAAAGAAAACUGGAGAAGUUGGGGAUCAGUGGACGGCUCCAAUAAAACUGCCAUGAAACAAGUAGCUUAGCUGGCAAAUCCAAAAAGGACACAGGCGGCCGUGCUGCACAAAGAGCGUAUUGGCCAAGCAGAAAACCAAGUAAUGGAAUCCCUCCUGCCUUAGCCUCUAUCCCUACUUCUUGGUAUCGAUCUCGACCUAGCUGCCUUCAUCUUUGCAAACUAGAAUCGCGGGCUUAUGAUUUGUAUCUCGAUCCCGGCGCUACAUCCUAUUCGUAAGUUGAUCGCCGCAUUGUAACUACCUACCAUGAACCUUCUACCCGUAAAUCCUACCCCUUAGAGUCCAUAGGAGGUUGCGGGAUGGGAAGGAUCCCCUCCUUAAAGUAGACAAUUCGAGAUCCUCCUUGCCAAUUAGCAAUUGGAAUUGGAAUAUUACCCCGUUCGAAUGAGUUCUCCCAUUAUCCUGUCCCUCGCCAAAUACAGGGGACAUGUUACCAUGUAUACAAACAGAGAAUCAGAAGACUAUUGAGAUUGCCAAAGAGGGAAGUCAAAAGCGGUUGCUGUUGGGGACGCCUAGUACAUCAGACUCUAAAUCAAGUUAGUGUCGGCAGGAAUGGAACAGAGAUGAAAAAAGAGAGUAGUGCGUCGAAGGCUUCAAGAGUGAAAGUAUAAGUUGAGGAUCAAACCAUCGCCCAAAGGUGCUCAUCGAGCCGGUCUCCGUCUGGCAGAGUCGAAACCAACCGAUCGAUCACUUUCCAUUCGUAGGCUAAAACCAUUUCUAACUUGUGAAGCCACAUAUCCAAUAUGGAAAUCUGUUUUGUGUGGGAGUGAGUGAGGAUAUCGAGAUUGGCUUAAUACCGUGGGCGGCCGUUACGUUGGUGAUUACGUUGUUAUUGCCGAUGCGAAAGUGGCAAAGACAUACGCCACACUGUUGGAGAAAAUGGGAGUGACCUAUCUACAAGGAUCAGUCUAUUAUUUCUUGCUUGUGAGGGUGCUCUCGAGUUCACGAUUCCGGCCAAAAACUCUAACCUAUAUCUCUUCGUGCCCUUCUAUUCUAACAGUUAGAUCGAACCUGGGCAUGUGCAAGUUGGCAGAUUUGGAUCUCAUCUCCAAUCUGGUCACAUUGAGAAUCAAACUCAUAGUCAAGUUAGCUAAAAUGAUUCACCUCCGCGGGCUUGCAAAUGAACUUGCCUUAAUUGCUUUCCCGCGAGCUGGUCAAGACUCCGCCAAGUACUAGGAUAACAAUCAUUCCAAAGGAAAAGGGACACAGUGGUGACAAGGAGGGCUCAGGUCAGUCUUCCACCCAUAUCAGCACCAUCAGGAAAAAAGACAUGAAGGGAUUGGUCAAAUGAGAUGACUAAAGGCAUGCCUCGAUUGUUCAGCCAUGGUAAUUUAGAGGAUCUAGACAUAAUUGGGAAAAAUGCAUCAUGCUUUCGAGCCAACUUCAUUCAAAGAUUGGGUUUGCCACAGUGGAUCAAUGUAACUACCCUUCUACGCAUCAUUGACUCUUUCUGUGAUCUCAUUAUUCCCUAUUAUAGCAAAACUGUGCCCAUCAGAAAAAGAACCAUUGGUCGGUAAGGCGUAUUAUAAAAACACCGAGAUCUACGGCAGGCGCGUUAUGGGGUAAUUGCACCAUUUGUCCAUAGAUCCAAUUCUGUCUUUCACUUAAGAAUCCAAAACAAUUAGAUUCGGGGUCCCCUUGAUUGAAUGAAGUUCUGCGAUUUGUUCUCUGCCUUCGCUGUAGCUUAAUCAAUGUUACCUACCAAAUACAAAGUCAGGAAGACCGCAAGAAAGGAACAAUUUCAACCCUACCAGAAAGGAUCAAUUGAAACCCUAUAAUUGUUUAUGCUAGACCAACAUCUUUCCCUGGACUGGGCGAAACUUCCGCUAUUGUGACAGGAAACGUUCAUUGAAUCGUGCUCUUAGCGAUCCGAUCUUAUAACGUUCAUUGAAUCGUGUUCUUAGCGAUCUUAUAAGGAUAGCGCCAUAAGAUCAUUUUUAGCAGUUCUUUGUCAUUAGUUUGUUUCACUCUUUUCUUUGGGCAGUUUCAUAAUGUUCUUCACCAACAAUCCGAGGUUGGAGCAUGGUUUACGUUGAAUCGACUGGAUCUACUGCUGGAUAUAUGCCUUUGGCGGCCAAUCCUCUUGAUGGUACGGUAGUUGCAUAUAAAUGUGCAAAUGUCGUGGCCGGGCAUCCGCAAGAAACGGAAUCGAAGUUUUGGACCCCUCUUUGGUAGAUUGUAAAGAACCCAUUUCGGUACUCAGAGUUGGUUGAUAACCCAGCAGAGACUUUACUUCGGAUCCCGCUUGGACAGAAAGAUAUUGUCGAUAAAUAGAAGUCAAUCUUGCUUCAUCGGAAAGACUCCGCCAGGCAAGUGAAACCAACUAUCAUACGAGCCCCCGGUAGAGCUACUUUGGAUUCCGCAAGAUUUUGUUCAUUAAUUACUUAAGUUUACAUGUAAAGAGAAUUUCCUUCACGGGUACGCUCACCUACUCCGCCAAAUACAGAUACGCCUCCAUGAGCUUUGGCAAUGUUGUUGAUCAAUUCCAUAAUUAGUCAAGUUUGACCUACUCCAGCCCCACAGAAUAGUACUCUUUUUCCUCCACGGGGGGCUAAAAGAUCGACGACUCUUUCUGAAAUAGAUAAGAAAUGAUCUAAGCAAAUAGAGAAGAAAUUCUCUAAGGAAGGCGCAGAUCUAUGAAUAGGAGAUGUUGUGCGACGAUCGACAAACUCUCGCUUUAUGCUUGCUUGAGAAACUGCCUUCCCGGCGAUCAGCUUAAUGAAUGGAAGGUUCGAGCCUGCCCCUAGUGAAUCCUACUAUCUAUCAUAAUGGAACAGCAGCUAACCAAACUUAAUGCUAUACUGGAAAGAACUUAACUAUACCACUAGGAGAACGAAAACACCGAUGAACAAGGCUUUCACUGCUAAUGGAAAGAACGAUAUCACUAUUAUAAGAGUUGAACCGGGAACUCCGACUUAUACUCGAAACCGGGAACAACCCUUACUUCUAAUCAUAAUUCACUAUUGGGGUAGUCAAUCCUCCUCGUUAGGGGCCCGCUCCUGCCAGAAAGUGAGUAUUUCCCGGUGCCCUUCCUAGUGGUCAGCUUCCAACUUCCCUGGGUGCUUCUCUGGCCUCCCGCUCCUGUCUAUUACUCUUUUACCAAUGAUUCCAUUAUUUCGCUUUGGAACCAACAAACAGACUUUUGAACCGAUGACAGUGAUUCUCUUACCUUGCCUUUGAACCAAUGAUUCUCUUACUUAACCAAUUCAUGAGGGAUGUCGACGACCGACCGACCGAACAAUGAACGAGUGACUGGGAUAGCAUAGACUAAUGGAUGACACUAAUAGAAUGAAUAAUAAGAAACAUAAGAUAAAAGAAUAAGGCAUUUAAGAAAGAAAGGCCGGAAUGAUAGGCGGAACCCCAGGAAUGAUAGGCGGAACCCCAGGUGUGUUGAACCGCUCCUUUAGCUUGGAACUCGCUGACGUAGUAGCUUGGCCUGGUAUCAAGGAAAGGUAGACUAAAAGCAAGUAAAGUAAGAAUAGGAAUUAGGGAGGCAGGUUAGUACAAGGGCGAAAGCUGUACUGUUAGUGCCCCCAGUGGGCGAUUCUUAAUAGUCUCGGUAUCAAUCUUAUUGGUCUUUUUGGAUUUCCUUAUUUCUAAUAAAAAGGAUGAGAAGCUUUAGUUCGCUUAUGACUUAAUGGAUUGAUCACUCAUCCUAGGAACAAAGCUCUGUUAGCACUAAUUUCAUUCAGUAUGGGAGGUUUUAUUGCUUUUUAGUAACCCGGGGAAGUGUUUGGGUAUAGUGAAUCAUAGUCUAAUCUUCUAGUGUGUAAUUGAAUUCUAAUAGUGCGCACCAUCUGGUAGUGUUCUCGGGAAAGAAAAGUGAGAAUCGAGCUGGUAAGUCAAAGAAUGAAAGAAAUCCGUACAAGAAUACACCCUCUGGUACACAAGAUCAGAAGAGAACUCAGCAGUAACAGACCUAAGCCCAGUAGUCAAAGUCAUGAGUAUAGGACCUAAGCCCAGUAAUAGAAGAGUGGCUGGCCCCUUCUCUCGUUAUAGCAGAAUGGAACAAGUACUUGACUUCUCCGAUUUUACUGCUUUUCAUAAUACAACUAGCGCCCAUAAUUCUGUAAAUAGUUAUAUUCGGAUCCUGCCACCAAUGCCGAUAGGAAUCACCCUAUUGCUUUUACGGCUUCAAACUUUUACUAGAAGAUUGGAACUGCCGACCUAGAACCUUGCUCCACCGUCUAUGUGCCUAUGAGUCCACUCCGGGUACUCUAACGCUCCUCUGUCUAUAGGGCUGACUUGACUUGCUUUUAAACCGAUACUAAUACAAACAAGGCUAUAGCCAGGUACUCAAAAGAAUAGUACUGCUGCUUUCAAUACUUCAACUCAAAAUAGGGAAUGACAUUGCUGCCAAUAAGACUGGAAUCAGGAACAAUACCAUUAAUUGCCCUAGAGGUACUCCCCAACUCAUUAACUUAGGGCUUAAACUCAUUCACUUAGGGCAUCCUCGCCUGAUCUAGCUUCUGCUGACUUGAUAACUGAUCUCACAGCGGAUUCUCUUUCAACAGCUAAGUCUCUUCUUCUUAUUGAUAAGAAAUAUUAAUGCACCGCUGACAGGAGCUUCAGAAUUCUAUCUCCCAGACUUGAAGUUAAGAUCUAGACUUGAGACCUACUUACUGCUUCCCGCAACAGAACAAGUAAUGAACGAAUUUUGUUAAGGGCUGGAACUAGGGAUUCAACUUCAACUUUACCUGGACUACCGGGCAAUUCCAUCAGUGUCAUAUACUAUUGGCCUAGCCUCUACUUCUUACUGAACUGCUUCCCCUUCUAUGAAAUCUUAUUCCGCUUCUUUACCUUUACCUGCGCCAACACCAACUGAUUCCACUCAAACAGACCCUUAUUCUGAUCUCUAAGACCUAACUAGCACUGCUGAUGAAGAUCUUUCCACUUUGUAAGAUCUGGUAGACUCCACUUUCCCUGCUGAAGAUCCUUAUUUCACCUCUGCAUUCGAUUCGAGAUCUUCUUCUUAAUAUGAUGAAACUCAAACUCCAAAACUAGAUUAUGACCCCCCGAACUACAGAAUAGAAGGGCCCUUCUCUUCUCGCCCGGAAAGUCAAAGAAUAGAAGCACCAACCCGGAAAGCCAGCGUUAGGGAGAGUUGUUGACCGAUGUUUGGGCGUCAGCGUUAUUACUGUUCCAAAUUGGGGUUUUCGUGUUGCGCGUUAGUCUAAGUGGUAUUUAUUGCGUUAGUGAGUGACAGUAUCGAUUUCAGUAACUACAAUCAAUCAGGAUAUUCCCCACGACAAUAAAGGUAAACCGUCCCAUCCUCCACAAGUAUAGUUUCGGGAGUUCACCCUUUGUUAGUUACAAAGUCAAUUAUUUUGUAUUUCCUUGUGUGCCGGUCAGCUUAUACUUUAUAGUUCUAUUAAUUAGUAAAACACUCUCUAAACACAGGCACAGCAUACAUAUUGAUUGAACACACAGGCUAGGGAACCUCUCAUGUUAGCGCAACAUAACAAUCAAGCAAGGGCUGCAAGCAAUAAUAUCAGAACUAUCCACGCUAAAUGACUCUUAAAGCAAGAGCCAGGCUAUUCAGAGUGUAUGAUUUUCUUAAAGCAAGGGGUUGGUUGUGCACUAGAUUCUAUUCACGCUGAAACAGGAACUCUCCCGAUUUGAACUCCUACCGCGUCACAUUAGUAGUGCCUUGGUCUGCUGUACUUGCGUCCUCAUUAAUGCUCCUUACUUUGAAAAAGGUAAAUCAAGCCAAGUCCUUGAAGCACUAACUAAGGGAAAUCAAAGAACUACACUUGAUACUUUACCUCGAACCGAAAGAUACUCGAACUGGAAUUGAGACUUCCUUUGUUGCUGCUGACUUUAUCUCGGAGUCAACUCAAACGGAAAUUGGAGACCCGACAACUUGACUUGCUUCUAAAGCUACCCCUGGAGGGAUUCUCUACAACUGAACUCGUACUCUCACUCGACCUUACUCUUAACCUGAUCUUAUCCCGCUUGUUACUGGGCUUGAACUUGCUUGCAACUCCCUCUCUCGUAGACUUAGAACCAAUCACUUAUCUCUAUGAAGCAGAAGAUCGGAUAUCUACACUAAAGCACCCGAACUCUCUUCUCUUAACCGCGGGCAGCUGACAAUAGAACUCUACUUUAUAGGAAUUUAGCACCCUUUCCUUGCUUUCGUUCUCAAUACCUUGUUUAUGGGUCCGCUAUUACUUACUUCAAUACUCCAUCUUAUUAUAAUGAACUGAACCAACCACUAACAAGGCUUAUGCUCCAAACUCAGACUUUAGCUAGUGCUUCUAAUAAUCAAAUAGUCCCCCCGGCUCUACUGCUUCUGUCUUCGUAGAAUAGAUGCUCUACUGCUUCUGUCUUCGUAGAAUAGAUAUAAUGAAAAACAAGGAUCGAACUCGGAACCAGGCUUUACGGAACUGAUUCCCUCGCUUCCUUCGAUAGGUUGAAGAGCCUGUUAUGUUAUAUUCUCACUGCUAGCAGCAAUCAUUAGAAAAGAAAAUCCGCCUAUUGGUUUUUGGGUUCACCAUGUGCAUCACUAGCAAGUUUCCAAUAGGAAUAUAGAGAUUUAGAUAGAUCUAGACCCAUAUCCAUCCAAAAGAAAGAGACUUACUGGCUCCUAUUGAUCCAUAAGUUUCAUUAACAGCGGCAAGAAGGAAAGAAGCCUUUAUCAUCUAGAGUCCUUUUCCAUAGCGAGAUCCUGUUGCUGGACCAUCAGUUGCAUAUCGACCAGCUUCGCGAACAGGCCUUACUUCCUUACCGAUCCGGUACUAGUUAUGGUUAUGCUGCUGAAUCAACUGCAUAAUCGAUUGGAUCAACAAACAAGGUCAAUUAGAUCUGCAACUAGUGGAUUAUAUGUUCCCAUCUAUGUCUCUAGUGAUGCUUCCGCCUUCGUCUUUGCUGCUCCUGUGGGGACGAGAACAAACGGAACUUCUAUUGCUUACUCUAAAUCAGAAGAAUCCACUACCCGCUCCUCCUUCUUGGUCACUAUAAGAGAUGAAAAAAGCCUUUACUUGCUCCUAAAAACUCUGUUAGUGCCAGAUCCAUUGUUAACUUAUUGGAUUUGAUCUCUCUCACUUAUAACUCAUAAAGAAAUGUGCCAUUAUAAGUAAAGGAAGCAGUCAACCCAGAUUUCCAAGAAGAAAGGGAACUAUAGGAAAUAAAUAAAUGGAAACUAUAGGAAAUAAAUACAGAAAUACUAGUAAGGGCAGGGCAGGGCUAAGGAGGGAAUAAAGAAAAUACAUACCCCCGACAUACUGAGUUUUCUAUACGUUACUAAGCUCUUAUCGCCGGAGGGAAUAAAGAAAAGGGUACUGAGCAACUGCCAACACAGAUUCAAGUGGAAGUCAACUUAUUUGAUUGAAGUGGAAGCAAGAAGCGGAAAGGGCCUUCAAGACCUUAUUGACCGAGUGGAGAAGACCUAGGCUUUUACGGUGGAAGCCUAUUCCAUCAAAGAAGGAAGGCCUUACGCAAAUUCAUCGUACACUUUCUUUCCCUUGAAUUGAGAAGGAAAGAUCCAAUCAAGUAGUCCCGGCUUACGGCCCUCGGCGCUGGCGCUAAGAGCAGCAGGGAAACUCCUAAGGAAAUCCUUCUUUUGGAGGCGCUUUUCCUUUUCUCUUCUCAUUUCACUUACUAAAUCAAAGGACAACGUUUGGAAGGAAUCCCAAGAAGAGGGGUUUAGGCAUCAAGAGAAGAUCGGAUUGGAAGAAAGCUGAUGAGAAUCAUUUUGACACCUGGAAUAUGGCCCUUAUGAUAGAGAGGGGGAUACUCUAUAGUCUGCCAGUCUUCAGAGCUCCACCAAAGCCAGUGAUUCACUACUUUCUAUUUUCUCCAUUGAGGAAAGAAGAGAGUAAACAUUUACUUAUUUCGUUUUCUCAUCUUUCUGGUCUUACUCUAUUUUACUUGAGGCAAUGCUUACUUGUUCAUCGGGAACUGAUCUAGCUCCAAUAUAUAUGAUUGAUUGAUCUCUUAUAGAUAUUACAUGAAUUAUCCGUCUACUUUUACUGGUGGCGAAAAAAGAAAGAGUUUACAUGAAUUAUCCGUCUACUUUUCUCCUUUUACUGGUAGCGAAAAAAGAGUUUACAUGAAUUAUCCUAUAUCCAACUAAAGAGUUUACAUGAAUUAUCCUAUAUGAUGAACGAGCAUAUAUUACUUACCGCUACGUGGGCAGCUCAAAGACUAGCUGCUUUCCUAGAUGGGGAUGGAGUGAGUGAGUUUGUUCAUGUCCCCCAUAAUAGUGAACAUUAGCUUAAUACUGAGUUCCCCUUUGAAAGGAAGCAAGCAAAAAGGACAGAUCAAUGCGCUUGUGCUAGGAGGAUAAGAAACUUCAACAACAAACCCGUUUCUUUAGGGUCAUUUUCUUUGCAGUAAAGAAAUGCGAGUCCUUCUUCCAACUCAAAAGCUUCAGGCCCGGCCGAGUAAGUGACGUGAUCACUGCCUUCCUCUUUGUAUGCGCUGCGCACUUGUAAGCUACAGUCUGUCUUCUGCCAGUUUCGCGAUAGCUCUUGAGAGCACGAGUCUACUAUACCCUAGUGGCCAGAAUUUACAGCUCUAUGGAAGACCUAAAGACGAAAGCCAUGAGAGGGAAACGGAGAAUGAUCCAAAAAGAGAAACAAAAACCCAACGAAAGAUCACUGACCCACAGAACUACGACAAACUAAUAAGUAGCGCUCCACGAGAGAAAACGGAAUAAUAAGCCAUUCAUUCGUUACUUUGAAGUUGAUACAUCGCCCAAAGUAGGAUAUAUCUUGUCUGAGACCCAGAUUACCAUACUUAUACUUACAAGCUGAAAAGUAGGAGAGAUCUUGUACCCCAAUUACAAUACUUAUACUUACAAGCUUCGCUUCCUUGAAUGCUAACUUCCUUGAAUGCUAACUUCCUAGAGAUCCACGAUCCGGUUGAUUGCUUAUUCUACUCUUCCUUCUCUGAGCCAGAUCAAAGUUGAUUGCUUAUUCUACUCUUCCUUCUCUGAGCCAGAUCAAAGGCUAGGGCAUUGGCUCACUGAACCUAACACAAAUCCAAUCCAAAACUAGAAAGAUAAGAAGCCUCAGCCGAAUCGAUCGAAGCAGUAAAUGUUGAAAGGAAGCAAGCGGGAAAGAAAGUGUCGGAAAGAAAGUGAAAAGAAGAAAUAUAAGAGAGGCAGGCCCGGCCCGUUGCUCAUAUAAUAUAGUGAGGCCUAGUUCUGUUGCUUGCUGAUUGAGAUCUACCCGUUUCUUACUGAAGUUAUGAUCGAGCGCCAAAGAGAACUACACUUUCUUAUGUUGCCCUCUCCUUGAGAACAGAACCAUCAUUUCACUGAGGCACUUUCACGAGAAGGCUUUAGCGUUUAAUGGCAUGUUUAUGAGCCGGUUUACUAUACUAUACGAACUGUCCUCUCUAUUGCGAUAGGCCAAGGCUGGCAAAUCAAACAACUUGAUGUUAACAACACCUUUCACUUACGACAUUCAUGAAAAUUCAUGAGGUGCGCGCAAAGUACGGGAAUAACAAAACUCUAUGGCUUAACAAGUUCCUUCCCCGCCAAAAACCUGACUCGGGCCUAGACUGGGUGGGGUGAGAGUUGUUAGGUCGAAAUGAGCGUCUCCUUAGCGAGGAGGUUGCGUUGCUUUCGCGAUUGAGGACCUGCAGACGGAAGAUUUCGCGUAUGGUUAAUAAGGUUCUAUAUAAAUGAGGUGGUGGGCUAAGUGAGCGUCCCUCUCCUUCUACUGCUUUGAUACUAUUUUCCGAGCUGUCCUUAAGCUGCCUAGUAUGGUGCUGGUAGGCCAUCAUAUGUGUGUGGUGCGUGCCGUGUCGUGCGUCUCUAUGAGUUUUGAGUUCUGCAGCGCUUAUUCAAUAUGAAGCGGCGCUCAGCAAGAGUUGAGGUCUUAUGAGCUACCUUACCAUUCUAUCUAAUCUAGUAGUGGACAGGCAACAGUUUGCUUGCAUCGAAAUAGUCUUGCUUGCUGUUCGUUACUUAAGCUACCACGGAUUUGAAUAUAGCUGUGAAAGGUAUGCCCAAUACCAAAGGUCUAUUUUUCCGGUUUCCAAGAGGUGUGUGUAAAACCAUCAAUAAGGAAACAGGUCAUCCGCCGAAAGGGAAAAAAACAACCAAAAUAGGGUGUUAAAGAUGGCGCAGUUCCAGCUUGCUUUCCCGGCUUGAUCAGGUGGCAGCAGUCGGGAUACUCGGGAUACUAGUGACUAGCGUGCCUCUCUCUGAUUCUCUAACAAAAGGUCGGUCUGCGUGGUUUUGAAUAGUAAUGUAGGGUUCGUUUUGUAGGUGUCCUUCUUGAUCUUCUCAAAUGUUGGCAUACCUUGUCCCAUCCACCAGUAUGAUAUGCUUCUUGCGCAACUGACAGAAAAUUGGCUCACAGGUUGCUGUUAAUUAGGGAAGAAAUAAGACCAUAUAAUAGAAUCUCUCCAGUAAACUGCCCCUUUUCUUGGCUACCCUUCUUUUCUCUAGAUCCACUUCCAUCCCUUUUCUUUUCACUGACAACAAAGCCGUUUGUCUGAUGUUGCACCGAAUGUGCAUUUAGCCGUAUGUAUUCGGGCGUAAUUGAGAUUCAUGAAGCCCAGAUCUCCUGUUGAUGGUGAAUAACCAGCCCAGUUAGUAGAUCCCUUAUUCUUAGUAGUAGUAGUAGUAGCAAGAGGAGAGGAAGCCCUACCGCGUAACUGACGUAGUUACUUGGUGCAUCUAGUAAUUGAAUUUCAGAAUUCCACUCAAGAGGGAGUCCACCGAUUGCCAGAUAGAAGUCACUAGGAGUUAUUAGUAAGCCUACAGAUUCCCUGUCGUUAGGGUAGCUACUUCAGACUGAAACUAGUGCCACUGAUUCCCUGCAGCUGUAGUUACAGGCUUAAUGCACCACUAGCUGUUAUUGAAUGGAACUAGUGAAACUCAGAAUGCAGUGGUAGUAACAAGAUCUGAAGCCGGGUAGCUGAGUAGAAAGAAGUCAGUAGAAUCAGUAUGAGUAGCCAGAGCCGAGUGGAGGUCUAGUAUCUAGGUGUUUGCUAAGGGUAUUCACUUUCAUCUCUUCUAAGUGGUGUACAAAAUUCCAUAAGUGUUGCACCAUCUUGCACUUUAGGCUUUCCCUUAGUUGUCUAUGAUAAAUACAGUCUGCAGCAAGCGGAUCAAUAAGAGGCAAGUCUCAUAUAUCAUCUGGUCAAGAAUAGGUUGAAAGCAUAAGCUGGAUCAUCAGCAAGAGGGCGAUCGAGGUAUUAAAUUACUGUUUUCCUUAGCACAACAAGACUUAGUACUAAUGCUUACUUCUCUUUUGGUGCUUCUUCCAAAGUCCUGUCCUGUUUUAGACACUUCAGAAUGAAAUGGAACUUACCCUUAAGCGCAACUAUAUGACUUAUUCGCAUGUACUGUUUUAGUUUGACUUCUCAUUCCUGUUUUCGUGAGGAAGUCCUUCUAAAAUCAUCCGUUCUUGAGGUAAAGUAUAAAGUUAGGGUAGAGUUCCGGGCAGACGUACUCACUGGCUUUGUUUGAUAAAGAGAAAGAAAUGAUUUGUUGACCUCACAGCGAAAGAUCUUCUAGCAGCUGACUUAUCGCUUGCAAUCCUUGACCAAGAUACAACACUCUAGGAUUCUACUCGUUUUUUCGGGAGCUCCACUAAGUAUAUAGUAAGAGUAAUAAGCAAGUCAAGUUUGAGUCUACUCUAACAUCAACUUUGCCCGCCGUUGCUUGUCCGAUGCGGUAUACUUUCUGUGCCCUUACUUUCAUUAUAGAUAGCCUUCUUCAGCGCUAAGUCAAUAACAAUAAGUAGAGUGGAGUUCGCCGGGUCGUAGGUGGGCGUUAGCAGCACUUGCUUGUUUACUGGUUCCCACUGCUUUAAGAAUAGAAUAUAACUCACUAUUCAUAGAAUUCCUUAAUCUAACAUUACUCCUAUUACUCAAUACUAAACAAUGGAAUUGAACUGACAACUAAUGGAAGUUCGGAACCACACUCUCCACUCAAACUAAGAACUCCCAUUAGUGGUAUCACGUUGCUUGCUUAUUCAAUCUGACUUACAUAUGCUAUAAUAGCGUAACUUCACUCUUGACUCACUUUCGCUUUACUUGUUGAACUCAGCUAGGCACCGACCCCUUUGACGCUUUCUAAACGGACUGCUGAAUUAAAGUAAGGGUAAGGCGGGACAAUCAGUUCCAUUUCCUGCCCGACAAGCCGACAAGCUACGACUAAUGGACAAGAGUUUCUUAAUAGUAUACUCUUAAUGGGCCAGAAUACAACACUUGCUAGCGCAAAUGAAUAAGACAAGUUGAAAGAGGGCCAUAGUACAUAAUUGCUAGCGCAUUCGAAGUUCUUCUCUUCAGUUUCUUUACACCUCGCAUCAAAGCCGGAGUAAGGUCAGAAAGAUGAGUAGUCUUAUAGGGUAGUAAGUAAAGACCUUAGAAAGAUAUGAAGCGGGGGUAGGUAACAAAUAUAUAUCCCAGGCCAAGCAGACAAGACACUAAAAGACAACUUCAAUAAGAAACCACAUAUAUACGAUUUCUUAGUUGUUAUUACUAGACCUGUGCCCUGCCGCCAAGGCCUAACUAAAACACCACUUUCAUAAUAAACGGCCAAAAGUUGUGGAGUUUGUUCUCUGACUUUCGAUGUGUUCGAGUGUAGCGGCUCUGUUAUGAGCAAGUCCUGUUGAUUGGCUUGCCUGCCUGAUCGACCCAUACUCUCGGCUCAGCAUAGAUCCCAGUUUUCCAGAAGCAGCGAUUCGCCCCCGAGAUUAACGAGGUGGACGAGUUCAGGAGCGAUUGAGCAGUGUGACUACCCAUCUUUGAUUGCCAAUCCUGUGGUAGUUCCCAAGAAGAACGGAAAGAAGCGAGUUAGUAUUUACUUUACGAAUCUAAAUCAAGCUUGCCCCAACCCAAAGACAGAUAUCCCCUCUGCCAAAAAUCGACCAGAAGGUGGAUGCGAUUCUCAAGAAUGAGCUUCCUGGACGCCUACUCAGGCUACAAGCGGAUCCUCACCUCAAGCCAGUGGCUGAUCAAAUCCAUACCGCUUUCAUUACCAAAAGAGGGUUAGAUUGCAACAGUGUUUGGCUUGAAGAACGCCGGUGCUACGUACAAUCGGUUAGCCAACCAGAUGUUUCGCCAGCAGAUUGUCAGGAUCAUGGAAGUAUACAUAGACGACAUGGUGGUCAAAAGACUAAAAGCCCAGGACCAGACCGCCACUUGGCAAACCAGAAUGAAUGCCUGCUAAUCCUAAGGCGCUACAAAGACUAAACCCCGACUAAUUGGUAUUUGGGGUGUCCUCCGGCCUGUUUUUAGGCCACGUUGUAAGCAGGAGGGGGCUCGAAGCAGACCCAACGCAGAUUAGAUCUUUGUCCACAAUGGCAGAUCCAAUCACGGGACGUACAGAAGCUGACCGGUAUAAUCGCGGCACUGAGCAGAUUAAUUGCUCGUCUACAUCUCGACCAAGAGAAUCAUCUUUUCUUGUGCUGUCGACGAAAGAAAGAGAAUCAGCUGCCCGCGGGAAAGUCUUGUUCAGGAGGGGAAAGAAGCGGAAGAGUAUUAGCCCUGAUCCCGAGCUCACGUAAGCAUUCCGAGAAUAAGCUUACAUUACCGAGUUUGCUAGUGAGUUUUGUUCACAUGUUUGUUUGAUUGCAUUACUUUAUCCAUUCUCAAUUCAGUUCAGGGAUUCGCACACUGAUCCCUUCCCGCUCUGCUCCUUCUUUAGCGCAAGAAAGAGAAUCAGACUCAUAAUUCACUGAAGAUCAACUGUCUGUCUUGACUUAUAAGAAGAUCAACUGUCUGUCUUGACUUAUAAGUUCAUGCUUUACGCGUUGCUGGUGGACUUAUUUAUUUAGUUGUAGUUGCUGGCGCUGCUCACCCCUUGAAUAGCGUAAGAACACCUUUCUACUUUACAGCUGGCUCUGCUCACCCAUGGAUGUCGGCACCCAAUAACUCUUGCUUUAAGGAACAAAUACACCGGCGAACUCAACUGUCUGCUGAAGAAGGAAUUUAGGCACACACAGAAUAAGCAAGGGCGCAAACAAUCCUAAGUGCGCUAGAUUCCACGUGUUUCAGUUUGUUUAUCAUACUCUCUCCAUAUGAUGUGCACCGGCGGAAGAACAAGCAAGUGGUAGAUCGAAAGCAAAGGUAGCUAGAUUUGACAUUCGAAAGGUUAGUUAGGAGUUAGAGUUCGUUGCUGCUUGUUCGUAGCGCAAGAACAAGUAACGUUGAAAGAAAGUAACCAAUGCAGUUAGUUUGUAAGGAAAGGGAAGCACAAUGCUGUUUUAGUAAGGAGUGAGGUUUUGCAAGAGAUUGACUCUAUUCUCGUCUCGUUGUGCUAACGCUUACUGGUGCGGGUGUUAACGCUUACUCUCGGGAUGCUAACGGAGAGUUAUAGUCGUUUAUUACCCUAUGUGAAACUAUGCUCAAUACAAGUAAGCACUGUAAGAUACAAUACUAACAAUAGAGCUACAAGAAAAGACUUAACGCUUAAAAGCUACAAUAAAAGAAUGCACAAGGCGACUAAGCGCAUAUAGAAAGUUGGGCUUCUUUCUCGCCCUAAAGAAAGGGAGGCUUCCACGACCCUAAAGAAAGGGAGGCUUCCACGACCCAACCCCUCCUUGAAGUUUUGUUUAUUCCCGCUGAAGAUACUGAUCCAGCUUAUAAUCUCUCUUCAGAUCCAGCAUUUGAUCUUGUCGACUUGCCCAGUUGCUUGUUUGGAUGAAACAAGAAAUAGAAUCCUGAGAAAAGAGAUGAUCUUCGGCUUCUGGAGACUUGGACACUGAAUCACUUACCGUACCGCUGCGCUCACUUUUGCCUCUUUAUUCUUCUAUAUACUCCUUGACUUUAAGACCAAACUGGAAAGACUAAUGUUACGCAGUUGUAAGGGGCUUCUUCUCUUUAUAUUGAUACUGCAGAAAGACCAAUCUGUCAAUUCUCGUAGACAAGGAGCGUAACCCCAAUCAAAUGGUUGCCUUUCUCUUUAUGCGUUGUUUCACCUCUGUUCCACGACUCUUUUUGCUAAUCACAGUAUAAGGACCCCAGAAAACAGGAAUGGAAUCCUUCUUUCUAGUAUCGAGUCAAACAGUCAAUUCAUAUUUAUUACCCACCCUAUCCAAUAGGAAUUGAAACUCUGUUAGCUAAAGAACUCGCUAAUCGCACUGAGUCUUCUUGCGCCUUGUCAAACAUAAUAGAUUCUCUUGCCUCGACUCUUGCUCCACUGAUCUAAGAGCAUCCCUUUUUCCUACCUCUGCUUCUCGCCCUGGAUCCUCUUUAUAAUGCAGAUCUUUGUAGUUGAGGCGGCAGUGAGCCAUCGCCUAAACCUCGAAAGAGAAAGUUCAAGCUUAAUAGUAAGGCUUUGUCUAGUAAAGUUUGACUUGUUUUAAGCAAUGCAAGUGGAGAUGGAAGUCAUUACUGAAACUCCAAGGCCCUAUACGUAAUUGCUAGUGCAUUAGGUAGUCAAUUCCAUGAUGAAGUAGUAGCUUGGCAGAAUGGAAAUAACUCUUACAAACAUUGACAUAACUCUUACUAUAUAGUUAAUGGGGCUCCAGACAACAAGACUUGCUACUAACACCCUCAAAACUCGGCUUGUCUCGUAGUUGCUUGGCGAAGAGUAAAAGCAAUCGGAGUAGGAUUCGUAUGGAUAGGAGACUAAUAGCAGUCCGUAUCGAGGUGAGGAAAGAUUCCAUUUCAGUAUAGCCCUACAUCAGCGGAGAUAUAAGUAAAGAUCGCUCGAUGCCUUUGAGUAGAAUAGUGGGUAAUUCGUCUCAGUGAGAUCAUGGUCGUUUGGUGCCUGUGGAAUAAUCAAUUAGUAUAUUAUUAUCGGAAGGAAAGGAAAACCAUCAGAAUUAGGCAAAUACAGAAAGAAAGCAUUGAUCGUCAUCAUGGGGCUAGGCAACUUUGGACUAUUCUCCAAUAGGUGGUGGGCAACUUUGGGCUAUUCUCCAAUAGCUUCUGGUAUCCUCUGACCUCAUAUUCCAAAAUAACUAAAGGAAAGGCUCUCGAUACUAGUGAUCUAGUCAACUCGAUACUAGUAAUCUAGUCAAUAUUAACUCGACCACUACCGGAGUGCGGCUUCCAAUUUCAAUCUGUUUGAAGAGCCAGUCAGUCUCAAUAGAGGAGCAGAGCAAGCCGGGUGAGUCUCAAUAGAGGAACAGAGCAAGCCGGGUGAGUCUCAAUAGAGGAACAGAGCAAGCCGGCAAUAAGUCCUCGUGUGAUAAUGUUGUUCCAUAGGUCUGUAUUAAUAAGUUCACGACAAAGGAAAGAGAACAGCUCCGCUUUAGAAGCGAGAGGGAAGGGUUAAGCUCAAUCAAAUAUGAGACAAAAGUGCCUCUUGCCCCACUACACUGUAUAUGGGGCAGCCUCAAUUCUAUUACUUAGUGGAUUUAUGUUCGAGAGAGACAUCUAAGUAGUUAGUUUAUGUUCGAGAGAGAGAAAAUCCGUAGUGCAAGGGAAGCCCACAAGAGAAGAUGCUUGAUCGGAUCAGAAAGAAAGUCUAGUUGGGGCGCUAAGCAAUAAACUAGUCCUGUUGCUUGUGCCUAAGUCUGACUGUUCAGUUGAAAGAGAUAUGAAAGUAUGGUUUUCUCCGUUAUCGAGUUGGAAACCGCCCAGCCCAAAGAGAGUCAUAAUAUAGGUGAAGAAAGUCAUAGGUGUAAGGUAGGUGUAAGGUGGAACACUUUCAGUAGUGAGUAAGUAGUAAGGUGGAGCUAGUAUAUUUGUAUUUGUAGUUGCCGUUCGCCUAAGUGUCUUUGUUUCAGUGUUGUGCUAACGGGUCAGAUUCCAUAAAGUAGUCAAAGGUCUUACUCUCCCUACUGCUCGAAGUCAAGUAUCAAGUUUCAAGCUUAAGGAACCGUAGAAAGAAACAAGCAAGUAGAGUAUAGAACGUGGUAAAGAAGAAUAAUAAGCAAAUUCCAUUCAAGUAUAAGUCAUAAAUGUAAGUGGUGUUCUAGAUUCAAUACGAGUUCGGGUCGGGGCAGACUCCAAUCUCAAGUAAGGUGCAAUUCCAAGAGGAGAGUAAGAGUCACGCUUGUCAGCAGCAAACAAUAAGGAAGUAGUUUACUCAACAACUCUGAAUGAGACCACUUUUCCUUUAGCCACUGACGCUGAUGUGUUAAUAGGAAUUGUGGAAUGGAAUCUAUCUCUCUAUGAAGCAGAAGAUCCGACUGUAGGAAAAGAAACGACCCUACCCAACGCAUUAAGUCUUGCCCGAACCCCAAUUACUUAAGGUUUGAAGCUCGCUACCGCUAUACAUUAGUAGUUGCUUGGCCCUUCUCUAUUCUUUCUUUCCUAUUUUUCCUUGAAAUAAAAGGUAGUUAUCAAAAGGGUCGACACCCCGUCUUUUUGGCAAAAAGCACUUUUCCCUUCAAAAGGCAUAAUCAUUUGAUAACGCGAGAAAGCUACUACUUGCACUCGUCACGUAAACUGGAUUGAGCAUGUCUUGCAAGAGACGAUUCGAUUCACAACUAUACUAACGAUAUACCACUUUCUCUAUCUUUCUUUAGAUAAGCUAUUUCAUUUGAGAAGGAAUUAACGGGAUUACUUAAUUCGAAUAUAUAUCGUCCAUUCCUUCUAUCUUAUAUUUAUUUGAUUGUACUAGUUUCGAAAGAGGGAACUUAGGAGAGCUAUUCUAUUAAGGGAAGGGCUUUCUUUCCUACUCAGCUAAGUUAGCCGGCCAUACCGCUUACAUGCAUUGUCAUCGGCACGCCUCCUACCAACACCAAUUCGUUCAGUGUUUAGUUAGUGCUCACCCGACCAUUCUUCUCUCUAUCCUACCACCAGAAAUAUGUAUUUAGAAACUUAUUAAUGGGGGAAUCGCACGCUCCUUUCUCUUCUAUCGCUUUGAUCUGUUGUGAGCUUUCUUCUCUUAUUAAAUGAAUAGUUAUCGCUCCGUGGGAAAAGCCCCCAGCACUGCUUAGUGAUCCCCAUGCCCGAGCUAGGGAAGUGAGCUUUCAAGCAACGGCUACGAGUACUCGAGCUGAUAGUGGAACAGCGGAUUUUGCAUCAACGGCUGAUUCACUCCAAAGAGCUGAUUCUAGCACAACAGCUUCAACACGACUUCUGUUUUUGUUAUUCCGAAUUCCUACUCCACUUAGGUCACUCACUCGCUUUCCAGUUUACUAAUAAGGCUAUUGCUUUAGUCAAGAAAGCCAGGCUCCUACUUCGCUCAUCAAACUCUGCGUUAUUCCUAACUCUGUAAUUGAGUAGCUACAAAACAACAAUAAGGAAGGCGAACUCACUUUUCAAAGAAAGAGUGACUAGCCAGGAACGACAGUAACUCGAUGGAAGCCAACUGGCCCUGGACUCAAAAAGGCAGUUAAGGAGGAGGGGGAUUGUCUUAGUGGGCAACCCGUCGUAUGGACCUUUUACUUUUCAUUAGCACCAUGAUUUAGGUUAGCACACUAUUCUAGUCAGUUUAGGUUAGCACACUCUUCUAGUAAGGAAACCCACAAUGCCUGGCAGGGAUCAUGGAUGUGGUCAAAUCCUAGUGCCUGCGAUAAAGGAUUCUAUUAGGAUAGGACGGGCCUGUCACCUAUAAUCUUAAUGCCCUCUAUUACCUAGGAACUACUAAAUCAAUAAAUCAAAUCAAUUUCAUUUCUUCGAGCUUACCCUUGCUUUCUCUAAGAGUAUCAAAAAGAACAUAGAAAAAAGCUUAUGCUCUUCUUCUGCCCCGAUAGCUUCCUCUCGUGUCGAAUGGCUGGAAUCCUUAAAACACUGCCCUUUCUUCAGUCUGAAGUUUGGCCUUCCGCUUUAUCCUUUUUGUUAUUACUUAUAGAUAUUGAUUCUUGAGCUAACAGCAGGUAUACUUACGAGGAAAUGUUCAAGAGUAAUAUGGUCAUUUUCCUCUUCUUGCCUAAAGAGUCGCCUUAUAGAGUAUAGUAUUGCCUUUAGUUUUAGGAAGGAUCUUGGCAAUGGGGAAAGAAGAGAUAAUAGAUGUGGAAGCCUUUUUUCCAACAUUGUCCUCAUGUUCAUAAAGCCCUGCCUCCUCCUGUUUAGAAAGAUAGCUGCCAUCCAAUCCAGACUUAUGCUAAUCAAAUACGCUGCUAGAAUAAGUUGUUUGAGAAUAGGUUGUUAAAGCAGCUCCUUCUCUAUAACUCUAAGAAGACUACCUGUCCUUUCAUUUAAUAAGGUGUUGUUCCUUUCAUUUAAUAAGGUCUUGUCAGAGCCCCUUCUUUGAUUAAGUCUUCCUUUGCUUGUUAGGGUAAAUGGCAUAGAGAGCAUAUCCUAGUGAGCCUGUUAGUUGGCGGUGAAGCUGAAGCAGAAGGCAAAGAAGCCGAAGCCUGAAAGCCAAUCACACUAGCUAACCAGUAAGCUUUAACUGAGAGAAGCCUUUUUCCCUUCUUCUCAAGCAUAGAGAAUGCUGCUAAGAGCUCUUUGAACCCUAACACAGAAUACACAAUGGAUUUAGGGGGGGUGGGGGUCAGAAGAAAGGGAUAGCAGCUCUGGAUUGAAUUCGAGGAGGUACGCCCGAUCAUUGGAGUGGGUACUAUCCAUUCUUUCCUUUUCAUGUGUCCAACUGUCUGGUACUACUCAUUGGGCUACUUACCUUGGGCCGGUUUUCCCGUGUUUCCUCAUAACAGGAGCAGCGUUAUUACAAUAGAUGUCUUCGUGGCUCUAAGUCUCCCGAUCAGUGUUUUCAUUCUAUCUUUUGGGUGUUCGCCUCCCGCUCCCUUAUAUAGAUCUGACUUUCCCUAUUACUAGACCUGAGUUCAACCCCGGCAUUCCUAUAUCUCUUGUGGCAGUACACCCCUCAAAGUAUUUCGUCUUUGAUUUACUUGCCUGACAGCCUUACUCUCCCGGUAGCCCAGACUUACUCGUUACUUUCACUCUCCAAACACGCCCACAGUAAGCAUAUCUUUACAUAGCUAUCAAACGGACACUGCCUUAUUUCAUUCUAAUCACCUGCCCUAGGACACUUAAUCUGCCUUUACUAUCUCUUAUUCCUUUAUUGGUGGUUACUGACUUUUAUAGGGAGAAUAUGAUCUAUGGCAUAAGGCAAUAGAAUUAACCUAGUGCCGAUGAGACUUACAACCGCCCCCGCCUAUAUAGGACCUUAGCUACUUACAAUCAGAAUGGAAUCGAUACUACUCAUCCUUAUGCUCAUAACUAAGAAGCCGACUGCUACUACUAAGAUAAAUGACAACUAGAGUAAUGGAUCUAUCAAGUACGAAUUUAACCAGUACUGGCAAAACUGUAACUACAACUGGAAAGGUUGUCCCUCCUUGCCUCUAUUACUGCAACCCUUGCUUUUCUUCCUCAUUGCCAAUCCCAGGCUUACUCUACCUGUUCCCUUAUUCUGUAGUUCGAGAUCUAACCACCUGGCACUGCUUGCUUUAAAACAGUGUAUUUGAUUAUGGUAUAUUAAAUGAAAUAGUAUUCAUAAGAAUUGACUAGUACACCCACAGCUUCAACACAUAAGUCAAGAGUCAAAGAAAACAAUCAUGGAUAAGAAGAAUGCAAAUGGUAUCUCUAGUAAUUGAGCUCAUGCUAACAAAGAAUCCAAAAAGGAAUAUAAAGAUUCGCGCUUGGAACUAAGACUUACCUUACCUACCUGAAAUCCGUAUUCAAGAGAUCCGGCCUAAACUCAAAAUACAGACUUGAGCUAACAACUCUAACACUUGAAUGAGGAACUAAUUCUUUCACCCUUUGUUUUCGAACUGUGACUCAUGCUUUUAAUGCUUUCACUCCCGGUCCGGGUCCUUACUCCUCCCCCUCUGGAAACAGCCAAGCCCAUUCCGGUUUCCUUAAUAAUAACAUAUAGAAUUGAUAGUGGCCAAGACACUGGGCAAGUAACUACUAACGUGACGAGGCAGCUCCUCAAGAGAUUCUAGAUUGGUUCUUUGCUUAACACAAGCACCUAAACCAGUCUCUGAGGUUUCUUGAUCUUCAGCAGGAAGUAGAGAAUAGUAGCCCGUUGCCAUAGGUAUUGUUGCCGGCAGAACACUUAACUUCAACAGAGCAAGUAAGCAUUGCAGAAAAGAAUGGAAUUGGACUGGAAAGUAGACGAGAGAUAAAGAAGAAUCAGUGGUUGGCGCCGAGGUCGGGAUAUCUGGAAAAACACCUAUAGUCAAAAGAGAAACCAAUACACAACUCCAAUACUAAGAUAUAGUAAGAAUACAUACCUCUUGAACUCGAACUGUAAAACUAGGGCCCUCUCCUCUGCCUCUGCAGUGACAGAAUCAAAAUAACCGAAUUCUACUGGGGAAGCAAGAUAAUAGAGUUAUAGGGCUCGAGCAGAAUACAGGUGACUUUGCCUCUAGCUUUUCAAUAGUGGAAGAGAUAGAAUAGGGGCGGCCAAGCUAACGUAUCGGGAAGGGAGUUUCUAGACCAGGGAAGGUAGUUGAAUUCUAUUAUUCGCCCUUAAACCUGUAGAGUUGUCCAGGAAACCAACCCGUAGUACUGUUAUGGUUCUUGAGUGUUGUGUUCUACCUAGGAAUAGAUCAAACCUGCUUCAAAUGUAAUUCAAAGAGGCUUUCUUCCGGGCAAUGAAAUCUGUGUCAUCUACUAUUGGCCAGGCUUCCAUACUGCCCACCUAGAUCUUCACUCAUUCCUCCCUACCUUGGCUUGAAUCCCUUUACUACUGAUUCGGAUCUGACUCACCUAUUUUUGUAUUGCACUGCUGACUUUUCUUCUUCCAACGUUGGCACCUAACCCUUUAUUGCUUAUCGGCCUUACUUGUCCUACGCUUAGUCUAGUCUCCCUAUCACGUGUUUCGCUCUGACCCUCAUGCCUAUCAGGCUAAAUAUCCUUAUGGCAAGGUCCCUACUCAAGUGUGGUUCUCCUCUACAAAUAAGAAUGUUACAGGCGCUUCUCCCGUCUAUCUCUCCUUACCUCUAUUCUUUUACUUGCUUCCUUCCUUCCUUGCCGGAUAGCUUGAAUUGCUUCCCUUGAGACCUAGACUCUUGCAACUAAUACUUCCUCUCCUCUGUAAACUCACAACUCCGACUUAAUAUAAGGGCUUCAAAUACUGAUUCCACAGGACUACCACCAGGACUACCACCGGGACUACCUGGACUACUUGAAUCAAACUCUUCCUCGAACGGGAUCUUUUCUCUUUACCAACUAACCUAGUAGCCUUACCAUCAAGUAAAGCCUUAUUGUCUCCCGAACAUACCUCCUCAGUGAAAGCCUUAUUGUAUCUCAAUAACACUACUACUUACCUAACUACGAAGAAUGAAGCAAAUAUGUAUAAGAAAGAAAGAAUGUAUAAGAAAGAAAGAAGAAAGAAUGUAUAAGAAAGAAAUCAACUACUAGCAAGCCUACUACUUAAAGAAGAAACCCAGCUUCAAAGCCGCCAAGCAACUACUAAUGACCAAGCUUAGGCGUAAGACUAAGUGCGGUAGCAAUAGUAAUAGGCCAAGCAACUACUAACGACCAAGCAACGGCGCAAGACGUUGUGCGGUAGCAACAAUAAUAGAUAUUACGAGUUAUAACAAUAGAUGUUUUUGGGGCCGCUCCACUCUUUUUAUUACAAUAGAUGUUUUUGGGGCCGCUAGUUCCUGCUCCUGCUGAUUGAGUUUCUUACCUUGGAAUUACCUUCCUCCUUUACCAAUAAGGGAACUACUACAAAUACUUACUUCAACUCACACUCUCACAGGAACAAGAACAGGGGCAGCAGACUUCAAUCCUAUUUAUGAACUCUUUAACUCCCUGUCGACUUGCCUAUUGACUUGUCCCGAUGUCUAGUAGAUGAUAGAAAGGGUAUUUCUUCCCCGAUGAUAAGAUCUAGUCAACUGGUUCUCUGUCUUUCCUUGCAUACCUCAACUCUUUACUAGCUUGACUACCUCGACUCUGUAAACUAAUACAGUUAUGGCUUAUCUACCUAUGAUAACUACUACUAAUGAUACCUUAACUAUACUGAUAACAAGAAGAGAAUCUCCAUAAUAACAAGGCUAGAGCUGCUACUGGAAAGAAUCCACUCGGGAGUAGGGAUUUGAUCUACUAACUGUAUAUGCCACUCCGAACUCAAAGCUGUCCUUCCUUUGUGAAAGCCUGCAUUGCCUGUUGCCCAGUCUACCCUACUUAUUAUAAUACAUCGGAAGCGGAAGCUGACCUUCCCAGCUUGAACUCAGUAACUAAAGCUUUCGAACACUGCUUUACAGAUUCGAACUACUAGGAUCGAUUGCUAACCUGCCCUUCCUUUCUAUUAGUCCUAAAAUCAAUACCUAGGAGAUUCUGAAAAAAUACCUUAACUCUGUAGCUACUGAUCAGGGGUUUGAAACUGACACCGCUACUGCCAAUACUUUCGCUAGUGCUAGCAGGGCUCGAACCCUGGCAUACGAGAAUCAACCUAGUGCUUUUUGAAUAAUAGAGCUGCCGGCAAACAAGCUAUUACUAUGAACUUAACCACAAGAAUAGAACUUCUGCUAACAAGACUAUACGGGCCGAGUCAUAAUGAAAGAGAUGUAAUCGGAUACUGGUCUGGUUUGGGAACUCAACUAAGUCAAAAGAAAACCCGGAAGCUAUAAGUACUAUUGAUCCUGGGUUAAGUAAAGGCUUUGAGGCGCGUAAGGAAGUUGUUUACCACUUAUAAGAAAUAGUAGGCUAAAGGAGCUCGAGGGUAUUUGUUUACUUUACAAGGUAGUUAUGUAUUGCCAGCAAAGUCUGUAUUGCCUGUUGACACUAGACUCUACUUGCACUCAAAGAUAUUCUAAGCCCCUACUAGGCACCUACUGAUGCUAGUGCUGCUAGGUAUGUAGCUUCAGAAUUGAACUCAUAUUACCAAUCCUAUUCCCUAUGACCAGAACACUGAUACUAAGAUAAGACUGAAACCAGUAACUCCAAGCCUGAAGCACUAGUGGACUAGAUCAGGCCAAGCAAUGACCUACCAGUAGUGAAUUACAGAAUUGACCUGAGGAGCCGGGUGUUGAAGAAGUCGGGUCGGGGCAGAGUUGGAGGGUAGGUUUACUGACUUAGUUGACAGAGCAGAGGUCUUCUUAUUCUAUAGGAGAGGAGAUUCUACUCGGUCAGCCCUUAUAUUAAGUAGGAGAAAUAGAUGAGCCAGAGAUAUAAGAUUUAGUGUCUUGUGGGAUAUAGGCUUAUGGAUCGGAGUGUCAGUUUGCAAGGAAUGAAGGACACGAUACAGAGAAUCAAAGCCCUUAGUUAGAGGAUGAAAUGAAUAACACGAAUAACAAGUAAGGCCUGGGAUACCGAUAUAGAUAGUCAGAUUGACUCCGCGGUGAGUAAGGGUUGGUUACUGCCCAGUUAUUCUAUCUUCCAAGGUUGCUUCUUGCUAUCCAUGAUUCAAAUCCGUAUUGAGAGUUUCUUUCUUAUUAUCCCCUAUUACGCUUCAGUCCGUUACUUACUCGUUUGAUUCUUCCUAGCGCUGGUUGUAUUAUGAAAAGCAAUAGUCAUGGCCUGUUGCCAAUAGCUCUAUUCAAAUCAAAUAAGUAGUCGGUUAAGCCUGUUACUUACUUGUUUCGUUCUCAUAGGUAGUAGUGAUAGAAUACAAGACAGGAAAGGUAGCUUGGAAGUCAGUAGUGUAGUGCCAAGCUCAUAGGCGUGUAAGGUCAGAAUAGAAGCAAGCAUAGUUCGAGUUGGGGUAAAGGGGCGACAGGCUUAGAUAAAGCAGUUGAAGAAUAAGGCAACGCAAGGAGCUGUUUGAGAGCGAGCUCAUAAGCUGCAAAGCCAGGGUUGGUUCCUGUAAGGGUUUUCUUCUUCGAGUUGGAAUAGGAAUAUCCAGCAGUUGGGGAAUCCAAAAGUAUACUACAGCAUAGGAGUAUACAGCAUUUGAGGGGAAUAAAGAAUCAAUAAAGGGUUUACGAGUCAAAAGCAAGGGGAGUUAGAGUCAGAGGAUAGACGCAGACUAACUAUAAUCAGUAUCAGGUUCAAGCAAGUAAAGCACAGAUCCGAUGUAGUAGUUAAGUAAUCCAAGUUAGUAUUUCAAGAAUACAGGUAAGUAGCACCAACCGGUUUGAGUCAAUAGGUGGGCUAUUAAGAUCAGGAGAGGUAGCCCUGGGAUUGGUAAAGAAAGACAGGUUCUAAUUCACAGGAAGGAAUGCGACUAACAACUAUAAGAGUCAACAAUACAAGCAAGGACCCCGGCUCAGUAGAUAAAGAACAAAAGUCAGGUAAGUAAGCCUUUAUUUAUGGUCAGAUAUUCUUUAACUAAGAAGCAAGAGCGGAGGGCUAGUUUUAAGCUAAUGAUUGACAUGACAGCUUGCUAUUGCUAUAUAGUAAAGACAUGCCCCUUAGUCGGUAAGUUGUACUUAAGCCCGGGAGAUCAACCCUGAUAGUGAGGAACGGCAGGGACAAGUCAAAGAGUGAAAACAUGGAUAGUAAGAGUGCGAUGUCGGAGUCACAUAAUGUUAGAGCAGAGUAGCAUACCAAUAAUAGGCAGUGGUAUCGAUCUUGUCACAGUAGUAGGCUUUCAGCACCUUAUUCCAAGUUCAAAUAUGACUUUAAUUAGGAGAAGUCUUAUUUAGGAGAAAGUCUCAUUAGGUAUUCUUUAACAAUAAGCUAACAAGCAAAGAAGCAAGUAAGCAAAGAAGCAAGUAAGCAUUAGAAGACUUCAAAGGUUAUAUACAUAAUGCAGGUAAGGAGUAAAAGCCUGAACCAAGCAAGUAUAGGGCCUAGAGUGGAUCUAAAGGCUCCGGAUCAGUAGCCCAAGAAUAAAGGGAUAUAAGCUUUGAUGUCAGUAAGGGAAGUCCUUAUUAUGAGCCUAAAGCCUUAGAAACACCUGUUCUAUUCUAAUAGAUCUAAUAGUUAGAGAAUACAAGUAAAGGCAAUACGGCUGUUAGACAAGUAAAGCCAGGCCCGGAGCUAGGAGUAGAAGAACGCCCAAUGCUUAGUAUAAGUGACAGUUCCCUUAUGAUUAUUAGUUGAAAGAGCAGAGCCAUAGAGGGCAGGGAAAUGGAGUUAUUAGUGAGCAGAGCCAUAGAGGGCAGGGAAAUGGAGGUUGCAUCCAGCCUAGUAAGCGAAAGAGAGUCCUAGGGUUUUACGAAGAAGAUAAGUCGAACUACACUUUAUGAACCAACAACACAACGAGUUAUACUGAACUACUACAUCUGCUGAGCUAUCAGACGAGCAACUACUAGUCCUGUGUUCGCCAACAAGGGAAGCUAUGCUUAAUAAUAGGGCAGAAGGGGAGGCAAGGACAAUUUCAUGAAACAACUAAAUAAAGUAAGGAAGCAGCCCUAGUAGUCUGCCUUUAUCUACGGACUAUGUUUCUUGCCUUUAUAUACAAGCUCGGUAACAACAGUUACUAACAUCAUUUCAUUGAACUUCCAAAUCUCAACUCCCUUAUUCCAUAAUUAUUCAGUCAAUUCCUAAAGUACAGAAGCCUGAGCCGGGGUAGAAGGUAAGAUAUAAGCGGGUAACUAAGCAUGUGCUCUAAGGUAACCAACAAACCCUGUACUCUUUCUUUACCACCUCUCCUCUGUCACCAAAACCAUUCUUAUCGGAGUAGCUUGCCUCUUGGUGAAGAAUCCUUAUUUUAAGGCUUGAAGACCGGUAUUCUACUUCUUAUUGGAAAGAGUAUAUGGGCAAUACUGAGUUAUCUACUUGGGCACUAAAGAUCCAAGUGUCAUAUUGAUCAUUGCUUCAAACAAGCACCCUACCUCAGGGGAAAGCCUUUCACUCAUCUGUCAAAUGAUGUCGCCAACAAAGAAAGAUUCUACUCAUUAACUUCACUUUCCACUCCACCUAAUGCUGUUGAAAACAUUCCUUCCCCUCUAAAUUCUAUCUUCUAUAAUAGAUAUAGGAGAAAAGAUUCCUAGUCGUUGAGGCAUUUACCUAGUAGUUGAGGCAUUUACUAGUUUCUUGUUUGUGCCGUGUCAUCGAUAGCACUACCGCUAAUGAUUCUGUUUGUUGACCUUCUUUAUUAUAUAAUACGGAGUGUUUCUCUAGUACCAUACCAAGUCCAAUAAGGGAGGCUAAAACAGUACUUCUUCUCUUUCAACAGAGUCUGAUCUUUAUGUGGCUUCUUCUGUCAGAUCCAGCUCUAUCUGUAUCUUUAGGGUAAUAAACAAUUAGGCCUUCUCUUCUCUACCACCGAUAAGCUGUUGAAAUGUUAACCCUAUUUAAGAUUGAGAUAGACUGACUCUUGACACUUCCUAACACCGUAGUCCGGAACUCAUGAAAUGUAAAAGCACCCCGAACUAUAAGCCUAGCCUAAGUAAUGGCUGCAACAAUGAAUGAGAAUAAUGAAUUUCCCGUUAUCGAGCUACGCUUUUCAACAUUAACAGCUUCUGAAGGCUUGCUAUAUGAACUAAACCCCUUGAAGACCCGCUUGCAAUUGGAUAAAAAACUCGAUACCUAACGAUUCUCGAACUGCAUCUACUCCUGGAUCUUGUAACUUAGUUUGAUCCUUAAGAUUCUUCUUCCCGUAACUUCACUGCAAUACCUUAUUCGCACCCAACAUAUUCCUUAGCCCUCGCUUCAACGCGUACUUGAUUCGAUAAGUGAGUAAGGAGAACAAACAAGGUAGGAAACUGGGGAUUCUGGAAUGGAACGAAGCUACCCUUUGCGUAAAGGUUUUUAGUCAACCCUUCUUUUUAUGACGAUGACGUCAAGCCCAUUACUGAAGCAGAAGACUCAGAAUGUCAUUUCAUCUCUCUAUAACUUGGAGCCAAUAACGGAAGGAACUCGCCUUUCAGACACUUCACUCUAAUGCUUGGAUUGGACCUCUUCUUAUCUAAUUACUUUAUUCUUCCCCGACCAUUCACUCAUAAACAGUAAGAGCCACAAGCUUACAAGACUUUCUACACCUUCAUUGCUUAAUACAAGUAAAGCUUCGAUGCCAUCCCUGCUCACCUUUUCGAUGUGGUUUGCCCAGCGCACUUCAGUGAGUAACAAGGGUUUCUGACCUAGCGCGUCGGGAUGCGAGUUUAGGUUGCCUAAGUUGGAUCUUCCUACCAAACAUCCCUAUAUAGAAUCUUCUCUGGAUCACAAACGACAAAACACAUAUAUAUGGUUCUUGGUCAAGGGACUUCCAUGGACACGAAAAGGUCUUAGUAGCAGUCGCUCUGGAGGUGGCGGUUUCAAGGCUAGCGGAAAGGCACAAUAUAGCACAAUUUCUCUUAGUUGUAGGAACUGCACACAAAGGAAGGUAUUCCACAAGAACAGAGGAAAGAUCCGAGGCAAGAGAGGAGGAAAGAUCAGAGGAGAUAUGAGAAAAGGCCAAGACACUUGUGUCGCGGCAGGGCCGCUCGUUCCCGGACGAGCAUUUCUGCUCUAAGGUAGAAAACCUACAUACUUCAUUUCAGGAGUGAUAGAAACCCCCGGAAUACGGAAUGGAAGGAGAUGAGCAAGGCUAAGCACGGGAUAGGAUCUCUAAGACUUCAACCACUAACAAGCAAGCCUGAGGCCGCGGGGGUGGUAGAUCGGAAUUCCACUCAGCAAUGGCAGAACGAAACAGGGUAUAGUUACAGGCUAUAGCUGCUACCAACAAGAAUGCAAAAGUGGGGCGAGUUGGUAAGAAAGAAUGGAAACAGGGUGUUAGUAGAGGCCUUCUAGUAAGUUUGCUUGUGUUAAGCAAAGAAGAAAUCCAUCGACUUUUGAGGCGGAAAACACCCAAAAACAGGAAUUGUAAUGCGAAGAAAGGAAUUGUUAUGACUAUAUAUAAUAUAUCUAUGUUAUAACCAAUUAUGACCAAGUCCUGUUUUCGUUCCUUUCUUUUACAGUUAUGUAGUACUCAUGUUUCCUCAGAGUUAUACCAUAUUGAUUCUCCUUUCUGCCCCAAACAAGAAGAAGCUAAGCUGGAGAAUAAGCUUAAUAAGAUAGAUCAGAAGCGGAAGGAUUAUAUACUGGAUCAGCAGCUGGAGCAUCAACACUUUCACCUCCAUUUCUCUCUACUGAUUGAGACCUCGCUGAAGAAUCCAAACCACAGGACUAGGUAGACAAGGCAUUCUAUUCUACUUCUGGAACUCACCUUGAAUACUGAACUUCUCUUUCAAGACCUGCUUGUUCUGUAAACUCGAAGAAACGAACUUACCCAUAGCCCCGGCAAAGACAACUGCAAUAAAAAACCAAAUAGAGUCUAUUUCUGAUUAGUUAUUACUUAAGAUGUGUUCGUCUGCAAGUCCUAAUUCUGCCUUCCUCUGUUCCUUUGUUCGUGUGUCGCGGAGGAGCUCCGAGUUAUGCGCUCGCUGUCGCGGAGGAGCUUCAACUGUGUUCUACAACCACUGCUGCUAGGACUGCUGCAAAAGGAACUAACCCAGACCUCUUAUAUUGGCUGGAUCGUCUUCUCGACUAGAGAGAUUCUAUUACCCCGCACAUGGAAUUAGCACUUAUAGAAUUCCAAAAAGUGAAACUCGAUUGCUGGCAACUGCAACAGGACCUCUAACUCCAAGCGCAAGGAAGGAACGGGCUAAUUCUAAUUGUGGAACGGAAACCCAGGAGAAGCAUUGUAAGGACGAAGCACUAGGAUUAGCUAAAUGGGAGUGCUUAACUCAAAGCCUAUGAACAUCUGAAAUGAAAAGCCUUCUACACGCCAUAUCUGUCUUACCUAUCCAAGAUAAGCAGAAAUGCCUGGAAAAGGAAUUCUCUUAGGUCAGCACAACAGUAAGGAAAAAGAGAAGAGGCCUGAGGCCUGCAAAUGAGGAACCCAUACUUUUCUUAAGGGACAGGCGUCAAAGUCAAGGGAUCGUCGUAUGGACCACAAACUCAGAGGACUUCAACUGGCUCGCAGACGGAAUCAAUGGCUAGAAGAGGAGGGGCUCAUCCCGACCCAUAUACUUUAUGUUAUCAAAGCUAUCCCUAUAUGGUAUGCCAGUGAGCUCUUCUCAGAGUCGAAAUGAUUGCACUCCCAUUAUAUAGAAAGAAGGCUUUCAAACAAACUACCUAGCUUUGUCGCUCGAAAGCAUGAGCAAUUUCCGGCUUCAAGUAAUCUUGCAUUUUGGACUGGGCUUAAAAAGGACUCGAAAUGGCUCGCAGAAAGAAGAGAUCCAAUUCAUUGCUACUUCCAUUGAAACGAGAAACAUUCUUCCACUUUGAAGGCAGAACGCAUGACAUAAGAUAUUACAGGGCUUGCGGAAGCACCACAAGGCAGGAGUGGACCAAGAGCCAAAGCAAAAUAGUUCGACCAGUAAGAUCGUGAGCUUAUGAGAAAGUGAAACUACUGCUGUAAAGUAAGAUGCCUUUGUUGGAGUUCAGUAGCUCUACCUGGAGCAUUUAUGCCCCUUUAGAUAGUCUUCUGCUGGAACAAGGGAGAAAAUAACUUAACCUGAACCGAACCGAUGUAGAAGCACUGAUGAGAAUAGCCAGAGAGAGCUAAAGCCCGGAGAGUUAUUGCUGCUCCCUUUACAAAGAGGGUUUAGGUAUUCUUGACUUCCACAGUUUGUUUUGGCUUACUUUACUUGGCUUUAUAGCUUACCCGUCGACGUCAGAUCGUAAAGAAUGAGAAUGAAACCAUCCCUCCAAGCAUAGUCCGGACUGCCUGAAAAGAUAGACUCAGAAGCACUAAAGUAAGAUGAGAGAUUUUCUCAAUUCACUCAAGGAAUAGAAAUGGGAUUCUCAAAUGAAACUGAACUGGCAGCUCACUAAGAGAGUCUCCGGCCUCCUCUCUUGCUCGCUUUUUCAAUAAGUUGAAAUGGUUGCCUCAGAUCCUUUGCUUUCGUGUCGAGACGACUGGAACUGAUUGAAUUCGGGGAAAACAUGGAACCGGUCACUAGGGGCUAGACAUGACCGCUACUUCUGCCGUUGAAAAGACUAAAGGAACGGAACGGGGCUGUCAUAAAGCACAGGCUAAUACGCGGAAGAACCAAGGCGCAUCUUACCAGAUCCUGGAUAUAGCCCCUUGCCUCGCCUUUUCUAGCCUCUCCUUCUUACUUAACUGCCUCCCUUUCCGACCUCAACUCGCCCUUACUUAUGAGACCCCUAUGGCUCUGUCAACUAAUAAAGAAUUCUGCUUUUUCUCUGUCGUGCCCUACUAUAUCUGCUCUCUGUCUUGCCCUACUAUAUAUGCUCUUUCCGCUCCCAUCCUACCAUAACAAGUAUGUAAACUUGGCCCUGCCCCCAUCCCAUACAAGUAUGUAAACUACCCUCGAGACCCCUACAUAAAUACGCUAUAACUCGUUAAGAGCGCCAGACAAGCAACUACGUAAGGCCAAGUAACCACUAACCAAGCAACUGACCUUACACUGUCAACAAAGCAAAGACAGAUGAAAGUCAAACACCCGGUUUACAGCCUCCAACCCUCGCUACCGAUAGAGACAGUCGGCUUCACUGACCUACUUUUGGUGUUCAUGGCUAAAGUUGUUCUCGUAUUGCGGCAGUAGCGGUGGAAGAGAGUUUACUUAUUUCUUCUCCUUGCUUUUUCCUUUUCCCGCUUUAUGUCUCUCAUUCCUUUUCUUCUCUUUUUCAUUCUGCUUCCCUUCCCUUUUCCUCUUUCCCAUUCCCCUUCAGAUAUUAAUGGGUUGACAUAUCUUCUCAAAAGAAAAGAAUAUUGAUUAAUGAGGAAUACACGCUCUUUGGAUGUAGUAACCUACUUGAACACAACUAUGGGAAUAUCCAAAGUGGAAUAUAUCUUAUAGGGGUCAAUUCACUAUCUUAGAGUUGGGGUAUCGAUUCUAAGCCGGGGGCCAAGCUAAGUCAACAAGCCUACCCGCGCCUAGUAACUUCCUUCGGGGAAUCUUUGGUAUAGUGACAGACUUCGGGCUUACUCAUAACUUAUGGAUGGAGCUUCUGAUCUCGUCGACCUAACAGGCACUGCUCCUACUGCUUGGGAAUCAUAUUUCUAUUCUUUCUGGACUACUACUACUAGAAGUAACUACUACUCAGGUAUUUCACUAACCAAGCUACGACUUUCAUUCAACAAGAACAGAAAUAUACUUGUAACCGGCAAGCUACAGUACUUGAGUGGAAAGGGAAAGAUAUAUAAGUGGCAACAAACAGUACUAGAGCAAGAUUAAGUGGCAACAGUACUAGAGCAAGAUAGGGGCGAACAAAGGACUUAGUUGGAGGCUUUGAAGCGGUUCUACUACUAAACAAAGAAGCGGUCUUCCACUCUGGACUAUAUACUUCACUAUCGGUAUUAGAAUUAUCUACAAGGGACAGGUCUUAAACUAGCCAAUCCACUACUACAGUAGCCUAGUAACUGACUUCCUAGCCUAGUAACAGACUUCGGGCUUACUCAACACUCUAGCCUCUCCUGUUGACUUCCUGCCUAACAAAAGUGCUACCCUAUUUCUCUAUUUGCUAUCAGCCAAGUCACUUACUUUCGAUUCCUUCAUAGCCUCACACAAGCACCGAACCCAGACUUAGAUGUCAAGCCAAGAACUGAGCUCGUAGAGGAAAGCUCAUCAAACACAAGAACGGAAAGAGUAUCUACUGAAGCUGAAGUCGACCUAGACCUAGACCUCGUAUCAAAGCCGGUACUCCUGGGUUUCGUUCUGUGACUCACACUGGGUUGAUUCACCAAGCAACUCGUUGCGCACCAAGCAACUACUUACGAGUUGAAUGAAGACCUUUCCUACUUGUGAGUUUCAUAAUCAAAUUCCUUAUUCCUAGUUGUGAGUGUCAAUUCUUACCGAUGAGUGAACCUCUAUACUAGACCUGUCCUCUGGCUACAACUACUGAUUCUACUACUAUACUACUUAUUGGGGAUUAAGGACUACUACAAUACUUGUAAACAGAAGACUAAACUCAGUAUUCCACUCGAACAGGACUACUACUGGUCAUGGAACUCUCACAGGACUACCGGGACUACGCAACUACUGUUCAACUCUGGAUUAAACUAGAGCAGAAGGAUACUCUAAGCCAACAACAAUAACAGAACUUCCCCCGCCUUAACCUUACUUUAUAACUGGAGCUGGCCUUGCUUAUGAUUGAUUAUUCUUAUGAUUGCUCUUUCCCUGAACUCUCUGGCUCUUCAAUUGAAUGAAACAAGUAAGUAAACCACUGCUAUCAGGCAAGCGACUAUACUAGACAAGUGAACGCCCAAGAGCCAAUCCACUACUACAAAGGAAAAGAAAGUCAUUAACUACCUGGUCCUCUACUAAAGAAGAGAGGCCAAGCUCACCGCCGAAUACAUCUACUUUCAAAACCGCUUAAGUCAAAAGAGAAACCAGAGGGGGAGAGGCCAAAUUCGAACUUUUGUUGCCAUAGAUAAGUAUUAGGUAUAGUUGCUAGAGGUGGAGGAAAAGCACUAACUAAUCAAUAAGAGAUAAAGAAUCAAGGAUGAGCCAGAGGAGACUAGGGUACGCUCUAGCGCAUCCAGUAUGUCAUUCAUUACGCAGAAGACUUUUAGUCAGAAUAAAGGAUGUGGGCACGGAUUCUCAGAAUACAAUUAGUGCUUCCAAGGUUGCCCCUACUAUCUAAGGUACGAAGCGAGGCCCUGAACCAUACUUAUUCCUUUAAUUACGAUUUGGUAGUUGGAUUCCUUUUACUACUGGUUGAAAACUCGCGCUACUGUUUAUUAGUCUGCUAUUCCUAUCUCUUAUUCUUACUGUCCGUCCUAUCUCUGAAACUGCUCUAUUACCCAUCUUUGAGNNNN